rnacentral:lncRNA from 1 species
UUUCAGAUAAAACCAUGUUCAUUUUUAUCAUCAGCAGUUAAAUUAUUGCACCAAAAGAAUACAAGAAAUUGUUGUUGUAAUAGAAUCAUAUGGUGGUCUGCUUUUAGACAAUAUGAGCGCAUUCUCAACAUUUCAGUGCAAUGAUCCAGCUAAAUUACUGCAAUUCAUAUCAUAAUUCUAUCCAUUCCUAUUUGCUACCACUCAUUAAACACAUCUAUAAUAUUUAGAAGAUUCAAAUAUCCAAUGUCCUUUCACGUAUAGGUUGGUUAUACAUCCUCUCCCCCUUUACAUAUUCCCUUACAAAAUAUCUAUACUUUUAGAUACUUCAUUGGUUUUAUGUUCAUACAAGCAGAUAUAUAUAUAUCAUAUGCCUCUUCAAUCCCCACCAAAACAGAGAGUUUCUUUUCUUCUUAUGAGAAAGAAACAAGUUUAUUUCAAGUAGGUUUUCUGCACCAUGACUAUUAGGUUCAUUUAUCUAUAUCAUAUGUAUAGGUGCCAUGGAACUACUUAAGCUGCAGCCACACCAGCAAAAAACUGCAUCGGACCGGAGCAUGGCGAGGCCGAGUACUCGAGGGGCUUCACCGUUCCAGAAACACACUUUUCUUUGUGUUCGUCGAUGGAGAUCUGCUGAUAUCGACACUCGGCGCUGCAAAAUGCCUUCUCUCCUCUGCACAGCAACGAGAUGCAAAAUAUGACACUAGAAAGAAGUGCUUUUUUUUUUUUUUUUGCUUUGCUUUAGAAAUGUAACAUAAAAUGUGCUCCAUAAAAAUCCUGUCAAGAGUUGACUGAAAAGCUGAUAUUUGAAGGAAACAGCUAAUGAUUCUCGAAAUACUUCGAAUCAGCUAGCUGAGAUCUUUCCACCAGGGCUAGAUUCGAAUGCAGACAACCAGUCAUGGAAUUAUAUGAAAAGACAAAAGAGUAAGGACAAUAUAAUUGACAAGGAGAAUUGAGUAGGACAAAAACAGGAAAGGCCACACCAAGAACAAGUGGAAGGAGGGUGUAAGACAACUUAGUCUCAGCUUCCAAAAUGUGGAGAUGUUUAACCAUUGCCCUAUGAAAUAUCUAACGUGAAAAUCUAAGGGAAAAUUAGUAACAUUGAAAAUGACAUGAAAACACCUAACAACUAGCAAAGGCAAAUUGCAGCUUGCUGCUAUCCAUCAAUUGACAGCAACAGAACAUGGUUUACACUUGCAGAAAGUUAAAGUGAAGUAAGAUACACUUCAGAAACUUUCAUUCACCCUACUUGCAACAGUUUUCAUUAACAGGCACUCUUUAACACCAAUCUUCUUAGCAGAGAUAAUCCAACUACUACUUCACCUUUCUUUAGAACUUAAAAAGAUUAGCAGUGAUAAAAGAAAUGGCAUCAUCAAUGUACUUGAGUAAGUUUUGAACAAGUGACAGCUAGAGGAACAUAGCUUGGGUGCGUAGAUGAAGUGAGCUGCUGCACAAAAUAUUCAUGACAAUUGAUACCUUGCUUAAGAAAUUUUUUAACCCUAGCGUUGACUUGCGAAUUUAGGAUGAUGUAAAGAACAGCAAGGCACAAUGAAAACCAUUUCUUGAAAAAACACAAAGAUCAUUGCUUGUUUCUAAUGGACAAAACAUGCCAGCAGUUGAGACUCUUCUGAACUAAGUUCCACCAGAAGAUAAGAAAGAAGAUGGCAGAACAAGCACCCAAGCACUUCAUAGACUACUAGUAUUUAGAAGAAUUUAUUCUGUGCUUUGUAGACAGCUUAAGCAACAGCAAAACAGCUCAAAUCUUAACAAUUUGCACAAGGAGAUGAACCGUGUAUAGGCAGAAUCAAUUGCCUUUAGAAAUGAGAAAGAAAUUUGGCAAAAAUAUACAGGUCAAAAAACUUAUAAAAAUCAGAAAAACAAUCCAAUCUUUUUUUCUAGCUCAUUGACCAAGUAUGCAAGAAGUGCUCUGGAAGUUAAAAUUAUAAUUGGGGAACAACAAUGGAAGAAUUUCAAUUAACAAAGGAAAAAAAAAAGAGAAGAAGAUAUAGGUAAACUGCCAGAUUGCUAAAAGAAUCCUACAUAACAUUUAAAUUGAACAACUUUCAUCUCCAAUUGACGCAAUGUAUAUUUUUAGACAUUUUUCUUCAACUCAAGGUAGCAGUCGGAUUUAAGAUUUACAUACACUUAUUUGACUUAGCUACCCUUUUGAGAACAAAGGAAAGUAUUCAUUGUUCAACCAACUAAUUAAUAUAUAACCAUAUAUGUUGAGCAGAGCAAUCCCAUAAAUGCAUAUCACCAACUAACAGAGCCAACACGCAGCCACAACUUUAACAUCAGAUUAGAAGCAAACAUGAAUCUGGAUGCAAAAGCAAAUUAGAAAAAUCUGUUGCAACUGACAGCAGGUAUUAUACAGAACAACAGUUUCAGUAACUAAGAGGUCAGAUCAAAAGUGGGUCAGAAUGCAGACAACUUAUACUGAGAAAAACCAACUUGUUAUUCUGAAGUGAAUCUAUUAUUAGCAAGAUAUCAGGGCCACAGAUAGUAACAAAUGAUCAAAGCUGGCCCAUGAAUUACUUGGUCAAUCAACUCAAUAAUUCUCAAGGCUCCACAUACCAAUCAAUAAACUCAGAGUACUGGCCUUACACAAAGCAUUUCCAUUAAACCAUCAUAACCUUCUAUUCGUGAAGUUCUUGAGUACAAUUAAAAUUUGAAACUAACACUGAAAAAUCCAGAUCAAGAUCUUUAUCUGAAAACCUCUGAACUUCGUAUUGGAAAUUCAUUACCGUUGAUUGUUUCUAAAUUGUGCCUCAAGCUUAUAAUUAAGACGUAUCUACCAUUGCAUAGUUCGUAAUGGUAGAUAAAAACCUUGAAAAAAAACAUAAAAGACACUCGAAAAUCUUUUUAAAAAACUAGGUUAUUUUUAGGAUCUUCCAAAAAAUGUAGACAAAUCACCAAUAAAAAGCACAAAAACAUUCAAGUUUGCACUUCAAGCGAAAAAAAAAAAGAAGGUAGGAUGAAAGACCAAUCAAGAAUCCAAAAGCAGACUAAAACAUUAAUAUUCAAACAAGCUUCCAGAUUCAAAAUCAUCAAUCACGCAUAAAACAAACACAUACCAGAAGGAAAAAGCAAAACAUACAAAUAGCAUAUACCAAUCCCACUGUGCAGAUAAAACAUAAAGAUAGAGAACAAGUAAAUCUGAUCAGUAUCUACCUGUACAUGAAAAUGUCCAACCCAUGAAGCUGCUUUUUGCAAAGAAAGCAAGAAUUGAGAAACUCAGCAUACGGAAAAGCUGCUACUGGGACUUCACCAGCAUGACUAACUGCAGAGGAAGCAGAAACCACCUCAGAACUCACCCAGUGACCGAUACUAGCAUUACUGAUAUUCUCAGCGUUGCUAAUGAUAGCAUCAGUACUAUUUCUAUUACGCAAGAAACCACCAUCAUCAAAGUACUCUUUUUUCUUGAUUUGAUUAUCCCCAACAUGAGAUAUCACACAAGUAUACUCCUCACACAACUCCAUUUCUUCAAUACUUAGCCUCCUCUUAGUAACACCGCCAGUAUUAAUAGUAGUGCUUUUAUCACUACUACUUUUAGCUGAUGACAAAGAAGUGAACUUUUUGUUGCUGAGAAUUGAGAUUGGAUUUGAUAACGAUCUUGGUGAGAUUGCAAGAAUUGCAGCCCUCUUAAAAAAGGGAUCUUGAGAACAAUACUCAUCCUUCAAAGCUGCAAGAAUACCAAGGCCAACAACCCCGUUUGGCUCUUCAAAGUUCCUGGGAGAUUUGACUGGUAAUUUUGUUGUUGGGGUUUCAGAACUGGAAAAGGUGAAAAGGGAUAGAUUGAUGGACAGUUUCUUGGUUUUGGUAUUCUUCACGUUGUUAGCCAUUUAUGUACACUCUACUUUCUUGGUCACACACACAAGCAGAGAGAGAGAGAGAGAGAUUUUUUGUGUGUUUCUGUUUUGUUGAAUAAAUCCCUCUUUCUCCCUCCCUCACAGAAUCACACAACCAGAAUUUUUAUCUGUUUCUGAGACUGAUAAUAGUCUAAUCACGAUUGGAUUUUUUAUUUUCCAAGUUGUUUGCUCAAAUGGAAGUGGGAAAGAGUGAGGCGCUGAGGAACAGAUGAUGGUACUGGUGAUGGUGGAGGAAGGGGAGGUGGUGGUGGUGGAUGGAGGAGGGGUGGUGGCAGUGGAAGGGAGGAGGGGCAGUGAGGAGGAGAAGAAAGUGGCAAUGGGCUUUAAUGGAAGAAGAAGACCACCACCAGUUUCUUCACUCCCUCCUGUGUCUCUUUAAAAAGUAAAAACCUGUGAUUUUCAGGUCCCCACAACCCACACCCCACCAAAAACCAAGCAAUAAGUAUUAAAAAAAAAGGAAUAAAAUGAAGUACAGUUUACAAAUACUCUAGUUUAUGGAUUUAACUCAGUAAUCUUCAAGAUUGGAACAUUUUAAUUGAAAUGUUCUACUAAGAUCAAAUAGCUUAUUAUAUUGCACAUUGAAAGCAUUUUAGUGCCUUCUAUCCUUCAUCUUUUGAAUUAGUUACUCUAGACAGAAUUUAAGGAUUUUUUUAGUAGAAUUGGUUUAAUGAUUAAAGUUGAAAUCCAAUUUAGAGGUUCUGAAUUUAAAUCCCUCCUUACAUUACAUAUUUUUUAAAUUCCAUCAUUCUCAUACUAAAAAAAAUUAAAAAGAAACUGCAUAAUUGAUGCAAAGAUUUUGAAUUGUCAAAUCAAUUAGAGAACUUGAAAACAAUAAUAGGAAACAUAUAAAACAACUGCACAUUGAUGUCUCCUACAUAGCAAAUGUAACAAAAUUUUAAACCAAUAAUGAGUUUGGAAAUAAGAUUUUUUAGAAAAGUUGUUUCAAAUGAAACUAUAAUGCUUUUUGUAAUGUGAUGUAUGUGAAAUAAAAAAAAUAUUUAAGAAAUAUAUAUGUAACAUACAAGUGAAACAAAAUACGCAUCAUAAAAGUAAAGCGUAAGGAAUGUGUGAAAUCAAGAUCCGAUGGCUAGGGAGAGACCCUUUAAAACUCUUUCAUAUACUAGGUCGGGGGUUCCUACCCUAAUACAUUACACAAGAAAUUUCUUGUUUUUAACAAAUCAAGAGAGCGCAAUAGUGCACUUGUCCGGAAUACUUUUAUCUAAUAUAUAUUAUAGCCAAAUAUAGAUUAUGUUUUAUACAUUUACAACAAAAUAUUCAUUUCUUUUGUAUAAAGAAAUGAAUUUAGAUGCUUACCAUAUAAUUUUGGUAACAAUAUUAGUCCCUUUAUUUAUUUAUUUAUUUAUUUUUUGCAUUUACCACGCUUCUAGGCUUGUUCAUGGAAAGAAGGGUGUCCUAUGAAUAGAUAAGAGAUUAAUCUGUAAAAUAGAUGAAGAAUCUACAUCAAACAAUUUAUGAAACUAAAUGUCUAAAUCUAUUUCAUCACUCCCAUAUAUUGAUACUGAAAUGGCUAAUAUACCUUAGAACAUCUUAGCUGGUGGAAGAGUAUGCUUCAAAGCUUUGUGAAUUCUUUUUUUGAAGUGUUGCAAUCAAUUAUAGUUUAUCAUACCAACUAAAACGGAUUCGGCAUUAAUCAAUUGAUACAUCUUCAAACUACGAAAGCUCCCCAAAGAUAAAGAUAUUGAAUAAUUGACACAAUGUUUAAUGUGUAAUUCAAAGUAUAGUUUUCUAGGCUUUACCACAUAAUUGGAGCAAUCAAAUCAUUUUUUUUACGUUUUAUCGUACUUUCUUCAUAAGAAAUUAAACUUCCGAAUGCAAAACUAAUUCAAAUCGAAUUGUAUAAGAUUUACAUAACAAAAAUGGCAAAUCGUGAUUGCAAUAGUUAUAGGUUGGAUUAUGUUACUACUUACUAUGACUAUUGUGCUCCACUGGAAAUCUCCAUGGGGAAUUCAUAGCACAAAUAUAAGAAGUAAAAUAAAUUAUAAACUAGCCAUAAACUUUCUACUCUCAAGAAUUUUAUGUCUUGGUUUUCGGUCAUUUGUCAUAUGAUAUCAAUGGAGAUGGCCUUUUUUUAUAUUGCAACUUAGAAAAGUUACAAAUGUCAAAAGUGUCAACAAGACCCCAAUCAAUUGAUAUUAUCGUAUGGUAAAGCACAAAAUGAGAAAUAAUAAAGUGAAAAUGAAAAAUUAAAAUCCGUAUACAUCGAUUAAGAGGUCAUACCAUAUAAAAAAUUUGGAUUCCAUAUCAUACUGAGACAAAUUUCAAGGAUAAAAGCAAAAAGCAAAGAAAAAUAAAAAAUAAAGACACUCUUCUGUAUGUAUGUGCUUUUGUAUAUGUUGUUGUGUAUCUUUGAUUUAUAUUUGUAAACAAGGGCAAGUUGUUAUUUCUAUGUGCUAGGAUUUUAAUAUGGAUUAAUUUUGUAUAUACUGACAGUGUAUAUAAUUUCAUCAUUAAAUACAUGACACAUAAUUUGAAUUUAAAUUUUACAUAUGUAUCAUAUGUGAUAGUGUAUACACGGUUGGUAUAUAUAAGAUUAACUUUUUUAAAAUUCAAUAUCCCUGGUCUUUUGACUUGUUUACUAAAAUCCAUCUUUAUUGAAGCUAUAUACGUGUAUAAAACUAUAUGUUGACUUAAUGCAUGGUCCCAAAAAGUCUUGAUGAUUAUUUGGUAAAUGUUUCUAUCCAAGAAAUGUUACAUUAAUUUCCACAAGUAAAAGGCCCAUUUGGAGAAAACAAACAAAAUAGUUGUCACUCUUACUUAAGGGAGAUUAAGAUAGUUUUGGCAAAUAAUUAAAAUAUUCAAAGUAAUAUGUAUAAAAGUCAAGUAAGAAAUAGUGUUCAAAGGAUAUGUAAUAGUGUAUUCAUUUGAUCUAGAGGUGGGAACUACUCCUUUUAAUUCCUCUUGACCCAAUUGGAUCCUCCUCUAAAUAGGUUAGAAUAGGAGUGGAGUAAAAGUAUGGUAGGCGUUAACAAUUGCCAAAAAAAAAACUUCAAUAACGAGAUUAAAACUUUUCUACCUCUCCCUCACCCUACUCUUCUUUCUCCAUAGGAGAGAGAUCUUGGUCUUAAGCCAAGGUCUCCCUCCUCUUCCUUUAUUCUCCCUUCUUCUUUGUUCUUACUUUUAUUUAAUAAACUUUCUCUUAGGGAAGCCAAGGUCUCCCUUCCUCUUCCUUUAUUCUCCCUUUUUCUUUGUUCUUACUUUUAUUUAAUAAACUUUCUCUUAGGGUAUCUUAGUGAGAGCUUUUUUCUCUCCCAAUUAUCAUGGUAAGGGUUUUGUUUAGUUUUUGGGAAAAUCGUUUAAAACGUCCCUUACAUUUUACAAAACAACUUUUUUCAUCUCUCACUUUUAAAAAUGUAAUUUUACGUCCCUUACAAAUUCACAUUGGCCAAAUUUGGUCCCUACUUAGGUUUUCGACUAGUUUUUUAUCGGAAUUUACCACAUGCCUUGCAUGUGAUCAUAUUUUAAUGGCAAAAUUGUCAAAUCAAAUUUUAUAUAAUUCGAUUCAUAAUCUCUCACAUUUCAUAAAAUAAAAUUUUUCGUCCCUUACAUUUUACAAAACAACUUUUUUCAUCUCUCACUUUUAAAAAUGUAAUUUUACGUCCCUUACAAAUUCACAUUAGCCAAAUUUGGUCCCUACUUAGGUUUUCGAUUAGUUUUUUAUCGGAAUUCACCACGUGCCUUGCAUGUGAUUAUAUUUAAUGGCAAAAUUGUCAAAUCAAAUUUUAUAUAAUUCGAUUCAUAAUCCCUCACAUUUCAUAAAAUAAAUUUUUUCGUCCCUUACAUUUCACAAAAUGAAUUUUUUUAUCCUUCACCUUUUUUAAAAUGAAUUUUUUCAUCUUUUAUUGAUCAUGUGUGUGAAUAAAUUUUUUUUUUAAAUCCAUGUAUAUAUCUGUUUGAUUUCACCUGAACAGUACAAACAUCAUGUGAAAUCAAAUAGAGAUAUAUUACAUACUAUUCGUACUGCUCAAGUGAAAUCAAAUAGAUAUAUACAUGGGUUUAAAAAAAUUGUUAGUUUUUCACUUAUAUUCAUUUUCUUUUACUCGAAAUUUGAAAAUAAAGAAGACAUUUAAUCAUAAAUAUUAUUGAGUGUUUAUAUCGUAUUAAAUUUGGAUAGAAAAAAAUAAACAAAAGAAAAAUGUGACAAAAAGAAAUAAGUGAUUGGCAUUUUCAAAUUUUAAGAUAAUCACAAGGCAAGUAAUUCAACUGUUGGUCUUAAAAGUAUCGAGUAGAGAUUUCAUAUUUAAACUGAAAUUUGUUAGCACAAUUAUAGAAUUCGAGUUAUGACCCAUUAAUUAGAUGACCUUAUUAUACAAUUCAAUAAAUAAAUUAUUAUCAAAAGAGAAAUGUCACAAAUAUUGAAUAUGUUUAAAUGGUGAAAUCAUAUAAAUAUAUACUUGGGUCUCAAACAAAAUUAUUAGUUUUAAACCCCUAUAUAUAUCUAUUGAAUAGCAUGUGUAUAACUACGAUUAGCAUGUUUAUAUGAAAUCCAAUAGAGAUAAAUUACAUGUUAUUCGUACUGUUCAGGUAAAAUCAAAUAGACAUAUACGUGGGUUUGUAGGAAAAAAGUUAUUCAUACACAUGAUCAAUGAGGGAUGAAAAAAUUCAUUUUGAAAAAUGUGAGGGAUGAAAAAAUUCAUUUUUUGAAAUGUGAGGAACGAAACAAUUCAUUUUGUAAAAUUUUAGGGACGAAAAAAUUCAUUUUGUGAAAUGUGAGGGACUAUGAAUCAGAUUAUGUAAAAAUUUGAUUUGACAAUUUUGCCCUUAAAAAAUGAUCACAUGCAAGUCACAUGGUAGAUUCCGGCCAAAAACUAGUCAGAAACCUAGGUAGGGACCAAAUUUAGUCAAUGUGAAUUUGUAAGGGACGUAAAAUUACACUUUUAAAAGCGAUAGACGAAAAAAGUCAUCUUGUAAAUUGUGAGGGACGUUCUGAACGAUUUUCCCUUAGUUUUUAUUUUUUUUGUUAUUUAUUUUCUCAGAUUUAAGAAUUUCUUCAAAUCUAUAUGUUAGAUCUAAAAUUUUUUGGAUUUUCUCGUCAGAUCUCAACAUCAGUUUUGAACUUGAACCAGUUGGAUAGCAGAUCUGAGGGAAUAGACAUGCACAGAUAUCUAUGGAGCGGUUCGUUCGAUUGGUCAAAUUUGAUGAUUUGUGAUUCAUAGUAUAAUCUUUUAUAUUUUGUAAUUCAAUUAAAUCUUAUAAUUUUUCAGAUCAAAUAUAUCUGUGACAUGGUCAAUGCAUUUUUUGCCAUUAGUGCGGAUUACUUUGUCAAGCAAAUCGUGCUAGACGAUUUCCAGCUAUAUUAUUAAUAAUAUUGACUUAUGUUUUAUAAAAAAAAAUGAUUGCAAAAAAAAAAAAAUGUUCAAUUGAAGAACGUACAAUAAAAUGGCCCCAUGUUUAAGUGGCAUACAUAAUUAUGGUAAAGAGAAUAUUUCAUCAGUUUAUGUUGUCGAAAGAAAAAUAAAGUAUUGAAAAGGAUAGUUUGCCACCGAUGCACAUCUACCAAAUGGACAUGAUACACAUCAUGAUUAUCUUCCCCAAUUUUCACAAUUGAAAAAGAAGGUACAGACCAGCAACGAAGAAAUAUCAAAACAAGAUUAAGUGACAUCCUAGAUGCAUUUCUAGUACUUUUGAUUGAGCUCGCUGCUUUAUUAUGUUCAAAUUUUCUUCUUUAUUAACCAUCAAUGGUGGUUUUCAUCUAUAUCUCUUGAUGACUCGAAUCUGUAAUUAUAAAACCUUAUGAUUACAAAUAAAAAGUUUUACCAUUUAAAAAUGUACUUCAUUGUCACAUUGAUUAGCUCAUUUCUGUAAUGGAUAAUUAAUUAUAUGUGGAGCUUUUCAUCUACCUCACGUUUUUUCCCUUAAGAAAAGUUGAAAAAAAAAAGGCAAAAAGUUGAAAAAAAAAAAAGGUUUUGCCUUCUAAUUUAACAGUUUAGUACAUGGUAUUACAAAACAUUUUAGUUUCUAUGUCCCGUAAAAUAUUUCUCCAUACCAGCUAGUUUGUGUGAAUAUUUUAAACAAGUUGAUUUUUUUUAAGUAUGAAAGUUGACUUAUCAAGAUUAUUGGGAUGAUAUUAUUAGAAUGUUGUACUAAAAAGUUUUUAAAAUUUAGAUGAAAUCCUUAGUGCAUUAAUAUUUGAAGAUUUAACAAGUAACUAAGUGUGGUGAGGGAAAGAAAUUGUAAGUAAGAGAUCCCGCUUAUAUAUUAAAAAAAAUAAUUGUGGUACUAUUAAAAGUUUGUAGAAAUCAUCAUCAACCCAAUUUUUUUGUUUUCUAUUAUAAAAGUUAUUCAUGCACUUUCAACUCAAAUAUAAAAGGAAUUAAAAGAACAAACAAGGAAAAUAGUUUCAGCUUUGUUGCAAAAUUAUACACUGUUAAAAUUAUUCUUACGCAUACAUUUGUCUUUUUAUGUUGUUCAUUUUCGUUCAAAACAAAUAAACGCACAUGUAAAGACUUGUAUACAAAUCCAAAUUAAAUGUCCUUUUUGGCAUUUGGAAUCAAUUAUACAUGUGUCCAAUUCUUUUUCAAGUCCUUCAAAAAUAGGAUGAAAUAUGAAUAAAGGAUUUUUUUUAUUCAGUGUACUAAGAUUGAAGAAUAAAAUGUGGCUCGAAUGUCAUUUUAUCAAAAAAAAAAAAAUCUAAAAUUUUCACAUUAAAGUUAAUGCAACUCAAAUCCUGAGUAAGAAUGUCAAAAUUUAUAGCGGUUUCAUCAUCUUUUUUUGGUGUGUUUUUCUUGGAGUUUAGGAUACAAAAUAGAAAGAAUCAUAACUAAAGAAACUAUAAGAAGCAUAUUAUCAAGCAAAGAUUUGAUGGUAGCAUAGCAUUAAAUGAAAAUUUAUUUGACUUUUUCAACUAGAAAAUUUUAGUAAAUUCAAGAAAUCACAAUAGCUCAAAAAGAUUGAGAAAAAGUUGUCUUGUUAGCCAAGAAAAAGAUCAAAAUAUUUAGAGACAAGCUUAAUUUGAUAACAAUAUAGUAACACUUUGUAAAUAUUUAAACCUUUUGUAUUGUUAUAGCUGGAAUAUUAGUGUCAGAAGAAAUUUUCUAAAAUGACAUGUAUACCUUUCACUAACUAAAGACUAAAUCACAUUAAUAAUUGAUCCAAGAUAGGAAUGGAAAUGGAUAGGGUAAAAUCCGAUAUCCAUUUUCAACCCGAUGGUUAAUACGAUUAUACGACUGAUGCGUAAUCCGUUAGGGUUUGGCAUUGAUUAGGGAUAACUAAUAGAUAAUCCGAUAGGGUUUGAUAAAAGAACCCUAAAAACUCGAAAUCCAAGAUACAUACACAAAUACAUGUGUGUGUGUACAUAAUACAGAUAUUUUACCCUUCAUAAAAUGCUAAAUUACUCUCAUAUAGGUUGUAUGACUCUAUCAAACUUUAAAAUUUAACAUAAUGGGUUGAUUUAAUAUUAUUUAUGUAUUAAUUUUAGUUUGAGAAUAGUUAAUUACCUUUUUCUGAAUUAUUUAAAUUACUAAGUGGAUGGUACUCAAUAAAUAAUCCAAACUCGAGAGUGAGAAGGUUUGAUAAUGGAAAUUUAAAACCUGUAGACUUACCUGACAAGGUUUGGUAAAAAAUUGAGAUAAACAAGUUAGAAUUUGGUAAAAAAGAUUUUUGAGAAUACCAUCCCGCUGCCAUCCCUAAUCUAACAUAGAUAACAGCUCCUUUUUCCUUCUUCCUUACUGGAGGGUCAAAAAAUAAAGAAUUAACUAAAUAAACUAUCAAAAGUAAGUAAAGAAGAAAAAGAAUAGUAAAUGUGUUUGGAUAGUAAAUUAUUUAUACAAACUUACCUACUUACAUCAUAAAUAUAUUUUUAAUCACCUUUUUAUCUCACAUAUAUUACAUCAAAAAAUGUUACAGUAUUUUAAAAAAAAAUUAUCCCAAAGAGUGUAUUUCUCAUCUUCCAAAUAACCAAGCAUUUAGAUGACAUUUGAUUAAAAUAAAGUGACCAAGAUUUACGUAGUGAAAGAAAAAAGUAAGCUUAAAGUGGACUAAUAUUUUGCAUGUACUUCUUAAUCAUAGAUUAAAGAAAAGAAGCAAGAUUAGGAAUUAACCAAAAAAAAAAAAAAAAGGCGUAGACCCCACGCGUCAGAAAAUGAAUGGGCGGGCCACCACAAUAACAAUGAUUUAAUUGGCAACUCUUAUAAAGCUGUCCACCCCCUUUACCGCACAAUCAUGACGUGACUUUUAAGGAGAUAUCAUCUCUACACGUGCCCCCUAUGACGUCAUCUCUUUGUUCCUUGUAUUUCGCCGGUGCCGUAUCGAAGCGCCUGCCGACGUGGCAAUUUUCCACCUCAGCCUCGGGUCGGGUCUGGCAGUAAUAGUAACUCUGAUGACUGAGAACGAGAAUAAGUCGUUGAUUUAUUCCCCGGCCAGCACGCAGGUCUUGGGAGUUUCCAAGUAAGUGACCAUUCUGUGCGCGGUGAGUAAGUGACCAUACUAGUGGGUUUACAUACACAUUGUAUAUGUAAAAUUUGAUCCUCAAAUGCAAAUUAAAAUCGUCUUGCAAGUAUAUAUAUAUAUAUAUAUAUUAACAAUAUAAGAAAGAUUAAUCUUUAUAAUAAUAUAGCAUAAUACUAUUACAUCUUGUGCAUAUAAAUUCUACUACUUAGUAAAUAAUAAAUACAUAUGAAAUUGCUGUGGAGGCAUUGAUUUGGAGUAUAAAUGUCAAUCGCAAUCCAAUUAUGUCACCUCACCAAUAACUUGUUCAUUAAUUUUAAAUGGAUCUAAAUAGAUAUCCAAUUAAAUUCAAUUAAUUGGUGGGUAGUCAACUGGCUCGAUUCAUCCAUUUGUACCCGUUUAAAAAUAAUUUCGCAUUUAAACUCAACUUUUAGUGAGUAUUAAGCAAAUAAAUUUUAAUUUUUUUACCAAUCUAAUAACAAUAAAAAAACUAUUAUUUCUUGUCAAACAAUAUGCGAAAUUUUUUUUAAAAAAUAAGUAAAACUUUAAGUGACUCAUAAAUGUAUAAUUAGGUAUAUCCAUGCGUAUUUAUUGAAUGGAUAUAAGUGGAUACUCAUUUAUACCAAUUUAAAUGGAUUGAUUCAAUUAUACCUAUUAUCUAAUUAUGACCCGCCCAAACCUGUUCAAAUCACCAAUUUUGACAAUUUUAAUUUGGAAAGUAAGGUUGAGAUCUAGGAUUUAAAGGUUUUGGGUUUACAUCCCUAUCUUUCUUUUCUAUUUCUAAAAUCUCACCUUUCCGAAAAAAAGAAGAAGUCUUGAUCGAGUAUACUAUAGUGAUAGGAAAUCCAAGGAGAAAUAUGUCUUUUGGUGUUCUUGAAACCCUAAAAUUCUUUAAAAUCAUACUAUUAUUUAUUCUUUUAUAGAUAGUGAGGAAUCUAGAAAAAUUUUCAGCGAGGCACAUUUAAGAGAAAGUAGUUUUAGUUCUAUAAAUAAAAUCAACUUUUUUAAAAAAAGUUCUAUAAUAGAAUGAUCCCAAUACAAGAUUUACAUAGCAAAGUAAAUAGCAAAAUGUGUAUUUAAUGUAUCACAAAAUAAGUUUCAAGAAACCACAAUAGAUCAUGAGAGCACAAGCUUUUGUGUGUAGAAAAAUUCACAACUAGAUUAAACUCCCUGAAGCAUUGGGGUUGUGUUUAUAGCCAUCAACUUUAUAUAAUUCUGGUGAUUAAGUAAUUCUUACUUGUUAUUUUCUUAAGUCUAUUACUUGUCAUUUAAUAGGAAGUUUCAUCCAGCUACUUAUGGCAUAAAUAUAUAUACACAUAUAUGUAUAUAUAUACAUAUAUAUAUAAAUGAGAUUAUUUGAAUAUAAAACACAAUAAAUUUAUUACUUUGAGUUCCAAGACACGUAUAAUAAAUGGAUAGAAUCAGUAAAUAAAAUUGGAGACAGUUAUAAUGAUAUUUGGAGACACGUAUAUAAUGAUGUUGAAUACAAGACCACUUAUGUUUAAACUCAGAACUUUUCAUGCAUUAUUUCGUUCUAGUCUUGUACAAAUAUCAUGGGCAGUGCAAAAAAUUGUUGAAUGUGCAGCAAUGUGUUCUGAUAUUUGUAGAAUGCUAUACUCAACCGCUUUACAUUGGGGGAGGGAUUGAUUAAAUGGUACGGAAAAGCAAGGGAUGGUUUGACAGGUACGAGAAGGGAGUAUAAGUGAGAGGUUUUGAGUUCAAAACCUUCCACUUUUACUAAAAGAAAAAGAAAAAUGCUUUUCAUUGCACCACAGUAAAAAUUUUGUUAUAUUCUUUGAAAAAAAUUGUGAAGUGAGGAUUUUUAUUUUAAGAAGAUAAGUUAAACCGGUAUUCUUGUUUAAAGAGCUCAAAUUUCAAUUUCAAGUAUUUUGGUUUAAAUAGAAUUUGUUUUAUCUUUGAAGCAAUCAAAAUAUCAUUCACGUAAGAUUGCAAACGAAUCAAGUCACUUACAAACACUUUCGAGUUGACUCGUUCAAAAUUCGACUCGAUCUUAGUCAACAUUGAGUUCAAGUCGACCAAGUUGAUAUAUUGAACUCGAUCCGAGCAUGGAGAAGUUCAGCUUAUUAACUCUCACGCCAACUCUAUAAUAUAUAUAUAUAUAUAUAUAUAUAUAUAUAUAUAUAUAAGUUUAUGAAGUUUAGCUUAUUAACUCUCACACCAACUCUAUAAUAUAUUUAUAUAUAUAAGUUUAUUUAUUAAUGAAAAAUGAAUAUUUUAUUCAUUUUUUAAAAAUAAAAAUAAUUAUUUUUUAUUUUUUUAAGUUCGAGUAGAUUCAAGUUUGAGUCCGACUAGGUUUGAAUUUGAGAUGAAACUUGAGUUCAAAUUUUAUAUUGAAAACUCGUCGAAAUUGAUAAAAUUGAGUCAGACUCAACUCGAUUAAAUCAAUACUCGAUUCGACUCGAUUCGUUUGCAGUCCUACUCAUUUAAUUUAGAAAUGAAGCUCAUAUAGGCUUGUGCCAUUUGAAUGCAAUAGGGAUUAGGGAGUAGAUUAGCUUAAUUGAAACUAGUGAUUUUUAGCAGUAUAUGUGCUUGACUUAGAACAAUUCUAUGUAAAGAAAUAUAUUACUUUUGCAGUAGAUAAUUUUAGGAAAUAAAUUUAUUAAAGGUCAUUUAUAUAAAAGAAGUCAUGUAACUAGCUUGAAAAUUGUGGGAGUUAGCACUUUACAGGGAAUACAACAUUUUUGUACGAGAGAUUUCUACAUUUUUAUCCCUUGCUGCAAAGGCAAUAUUGGUAUUCAAAAUAUCUCAAACAUGAAUACACUAAAGGGUUGUUCUCAUUAUAUUCCCUUGAGAAAAUUAGAAAGUUCGUUUCAUAUCAAAACUAGAAUAACAGGUGUGGACUAGCUAAUAUUUAGUGGAAUUCCAAGUAAUUAAGGAACAAAGAAUCCAAUUGGUUCUUUUUGCUUCCAUAAUGCACUACCAAACAAAAGAUUCUUGUGAAUUUUUUUAGCACAAAUCAAACUAUCAAUCCCAUCUACUUUACCAAAAGGUUUGUUUUUUGAAUUUGUUUAACCCUAAAAUAACAAGGAUAAUAAUCAUGCUGGUGCACCCACUGUUUAUAUUAGAUCUCUAUUAAACAAAUAAGUACAUGUUAAUGAUUGAAUCUCAUUGGUUAAUCAAACAUGGAUGGGCUCUAAUGCUCCCCUCAUUACUGAUAAACACUUUUUUGUAAUGGAAUAGUGUCUGACUAAAGUGUCCCAAUGAAACGAACAGAAUGAUGCUGCUCAAUAAAAUGCAAAUGCCCACUCCAUUGUUUGGGUUCUCCUCAAAUCUUUUGUUUUUCCCCUUUAAUUAUGGUUCUUUCUUGGUUGUACUUUGAUCUUUGGGUUUCAAUCUUCUUUUGGCCGACAACCAUAGAAUCUUUGAUACAUGAUCAACCAUUUUUGUGAGAUUAGAUUAUAUUUCACUAAAGGCAUAAAAUUGGCCCUUACAAAAAUAAAAAGUGUGUGUAAAAGAAGAGCAUAUUGUGAUUGCGUAUACAAAUUCAGUUUUGGUUCUUGAAAUUCCUACUUUAAUCGUUCACCUUGAUGAGAAUCGCGCAUGCAUGCACACACAUAUAAAUAAAUAUAUUUAAUUUUUUUUUAGCAAGAGAGAGGUAAGUAAGUGUGUGUAUGUAUGUAUGUAUGUGUGUGUAUAUAUAUAUGUGGAAACAAAAAUAUCAUAAGAGGGGGAGGGUUCGGUUGGGUGGUACGGGGGGAGGGAGUAUAAGUGGGAGAUUUCGGAUUCGAGUUCUCCUGCUUACACUAAAAACAAAAACGAAGCCAAUAAAGGAAGGGAGGGAGGGAGUGCAAGCAAGAGGUCUCAAGUUCGAGUCCUCCUACUUACACUUUUAUUUAAAAAAAAAUCAUAAUGGGGUCAAUGCAGACAUGUUAAAAGAAUUUUUUUUUUCUUAUGGAUAUGUAACACUUUUAAUUAGCUGAAAUUUUCGAGGGCCCAUAACACCUUUAGUGUAAGGAAAACAAUGAGUGAGUGGGCACAGGACAAGGAUAUAAGCAUUGGCAUCCCUAGUGCGGGCAUGGCCACUUUGUAAGGUGGUCCAAAAUCAUUACGAAAUUGUAGCCAUGAAUACUCUUUUCACAAAGGAGACAUGUGUUACCUCCAAAAAAAAAAAAAAAAAAAAGGCAGACAUGUGUUACCUCCAAAAAAAAUUCAUAUCUCCAAUUAUACACUUGUUUGCAAUUUUUGGAACAAUAUGAAGGGCCCAUUUAUUCCAUUCAAGUGGGGUGAAAAUGACAAACAAAUAAAUCAAGCCAUGCCUGUCAUGUAUCUCUUAGCUUUCUUCAUAUUCUUUUCCCAAAUGAUUUAGAGUGGAAAUAAAAAGUCCCAAAUUUUUUUGACACUGUUGCCUUGCUCCAUUAUUGAAAAAAGGAACUGAAUUUUAUACACUGGACUGCCAACCACCGAGCUUUGGCUCAUUGGCCACAAAAAAUGAAUUAAAUUCUUCUUUAAAUUGUAGAUCGGCGGUCUGAAUUCCACUUACAGUGAAAAAAAAUCUAAAUAAAAUGCCAAAGCACCUCUUUGAUCUAAUCCGAUCUGUAUACCUGCUAACUCUUUAUAUAUUCUCUUUAGACAACUGAACAAGUCAAUAUUGCAAGAAGCAAUCACUACUUUAGGGCCAACAAACACCACUUUAGGGCCCCUUUAUCAUGCCGUAGCAUGUGAGGUUACUCUCUACUUCACUUUUCUCUUUGAGGCAAUUUAGGAAAAAAGAAAAGAGCAACAUUUGAAAUAAUAGUAUCAUGAAUAGUAUCAUGAAAAUUUAUCACUUUAUCAAAGAAAAAAAUAGUAUCAUGAAUUGAAGUAGGUAAGUGUCUUUGGAUAGGAGAUCAUUUGGAAAAUUUAUUUGAAAUAAUACUGUAGCAACUUUUAUAAUAUGAUGUACGUGAGAUAAAAAGGUGGACGGAAAUAUAAAAAAAGGUAUUUGAAAAACGUCUUCAUGAUGUAAACAUUUUUUUUUCAAAUAAUGGUAUUCUUCCCAUUGAAAAGUUAAAAAAAAAUAAUUAAAGCAAGAUAAAAAAGAAGGUACAUGUGGGGUUGGACCACUUCCUUUAUCAAAUUUAGUCUUUAUUGCAGGAUUAGAUGUAUUUUUUGCUAUUUUAUGAUUAUUCUUUUUUGGUUCAAUGAAUUUGAUAGAAAACACUAACCUAGGGUUUCCAACUAAUAAUUGGUAUUAGUCAAAAUUUGAGGAACAUUAAGAAUUUAAUACUCAUGCUGAGGAAUAAAACCCUCCAUUAACUUGGCUAUUAUGUAAUGAAGGAUUUAAACAUUGAAAAGUACAUACUGUUUCCUUUCCUUUCUCCGGGAAUUUCUGAUGCUCACAGGCUUGGACAUUUCAAAAGCGAUUGCAAAGGCAAAACUUGUGGCAGUAAAGUGGGCUGGAUUAGGCACCAGACUUUUCCAAACGUAUUGCAACAGAUAAUUGGGCCUAAAAAUGAGAUCUGGUUUAUAUGGCCCGGAUGUGAUUAAGUUAAUAAAGAUUAAUGAAUAUUCAGCCGAAUUAGAAUUCAAGAGGAAGGGAUUGGUCGGGCGAUUUGAGAAGAAGUGUAAUUGAGAGAUUCUAAAUUCGAACCCUCCUAUUUACACUUUUGAAACAAAACCCCUAGGUAGAGUUCAAAUUUUGGGCACUUAAUAUUAAGUGCCUUUUUUUUUAAUAGAGAUUUUAAUAAAGGUAAAAUUUUUAUGCAGUGUUUAGUGUGUACAUGAGCGGGCAUAGAUGCAUACCAUUUAAUCUAAUUUCAAAUUUGAAAUUACAUACAAGACAUACAAAUACACCUAUAAGUAUAAAAAAUCAUCUACACUGAUAGUGCAUAAAAAUUUAAUUCUUUUAAUAAAAGCACUUAUUAAAUGUUUAAAUAUAUAAUUUAGAUGCCUACUUUGAUAAGUGUUUAUUCUGUUGUGUAAUAUGUAAUUUUAUAUUUUUAAAAUAUAUUUAUCUCAUUAUUGAGCUCAUAAUAUAGGAUAAAAUGAUUAUAUUUUAUAUUUUAUUUUUCAAACCCCAAAAGUUAUUUUAAAAGUAUCAAAUUUAAUUUAAUUUUUUUUACUAAAAUGCUUUUAACUCCAAAAACUCUACUUCUAAAUUUAUGAGAUAAUGUUCAUCAAAUACCUCAAAAGUACUUGCAUCGCUCAAAAGUGCUUUUUAACAUAAGCACCAGCCAAAUGGGCUUUAAAGUAAUUUCAUUCUACGAUAUGAGUUGAAUUAAAGCAAAUAAUGACAGGUUGUCGAAACCUGUGCAAUAAUAAAACCUGCUCAAACUAAAAUUAAUUUCUGUAGAUAGUGGUAAGCAGGGUCGAAUCCACAGGGACUGGGAAUAAUUGUUUCUUUUUAAAUUCACAGUGACAAGGGGGGGUGUUUUUAUCUCAGGGGUGACAAUUUAAACAAUUCAACUAAAAAUAAUAAAAAUAAAAUAGCCGACUAGAAAUUAAAUAACAAAUUACUAAAAUCAAAUGAAUGAUAAUGAAGGAUCUAGCCAAGAAAUAACUUCAGCAAUGGUUCACCUAAUUGAUCAUCGAUAAGCAAAGGCAAUUCCAAUUAUUUAUCAAUAAAUAGGUUAUAACUACCAAACAAGCGAUGGUAGUUAACUUCUCCUUACUGUGUCGGUGAUCAAGGUACGCCCGUUAAUCACUGCUCUAAUUGAGAAAUAAUCCUAGGUACGCCCGUAGAAUUUAAUUCCCCAGUUGCCUUACGUAUUAGAGGAGCCCUAUUCUAAUCAAAUAACGCACUACCAGGGUUAUUUUAGAUUAGCCCGCGUGUUCCCCUGACACAAAUCCAAUCAUGCCAGUUGUCACUAUUUUAGAGCAAUUAAACAAUUACGGAUUUAAUGCCCUAAUUGACAAUAGAUUACCCAAUCAACUAAUUAUCCGGAUCCAAGACAAUCAAUUAAUUAAAUAACCAUAAGCAUAGCAAUCAAGAAAUAUGCGAAUACCAAUAAAUAAAAGAAAAAGAUUAAAUUAAAUCGAUCUCACAAUUUUAGGCCAACCAAAACCUCCGUUGUUCCUUGACUAGAAAAGAAAAAUUAGUUCAUUCCUGGUGAACAAAUCCCACGCAGUAAAGCCUGGUGAACAAACCGACAGCUCUUCAAUCAGGUUCGAACAGCAGGUGUAAGCGAUAUCAGAUUGGCUACUGUUGUGGACGAUAUUUUACAACUCAGAGAUUUGUUUCAUAAGUGCUCCUUUUGCCUAGUUCAUAAUGAUAACAAUCAACUAAGCACUAAGCUUAGUAAAUAUGCCUUGGGCAUUAUUCUAGAUGAGGAACAUUGGUUUCCUUAGUGGCAAGUAAAGCCGCUUGUAAAGUUCAUUCGAGCUUUUGCUUGUACUUGUAAAUCUUUUGUCAAGUAAUACAACCAAUUAUCGUUUCGAGAAAAAAAAAAAGAACAAAUUCCACGCAAAGUUGGAGAGGAAGCCGCAGCCAUCGUCCUUGACCAAGGGAGCUCAGUUCGCUCAGUUGAUGGAAGAAUACAGAAAGUGACCGAGACCUUCAAUUGCUCCUGACAUGCGCAGGAGACAUCCACCCAAGACUCAAGGAAAAAGUCAAAAGGAAAACUAUGCUAAAGGUCCUACGAGGAAGGUAAAACAACUACUAAGAACUAAAAGGGAAGAAAAGUCAACAAAAGCAACUCCCUGGUGCUAGUGCUCAUUCUCUGCCAUAUAUCAAUUGCUCCUAUUCUAAUGGCUACUGUGUGCGGCGGCUCUAGCCUCCAAGGGAAAGAACGCCUAGUCCUGUGUUCCUCCUUCUCCUUUUAUUUUUCCUUUGUGCGGCGCUCUCCGGAGGAAAGAAGGCUUCGGCCCAAAUUACCCAACGAAGGGCUCGCAUCUUUUUUUGUUCCUAAAAUGCCCCUGAACUACGGACAGCUACUGAACCUUCUUUUCUGUCAAAUUGGCUCUUAUUAUGGUAUUUUCGAUCUACUCCCUGGAAUAAAUACAAAUUAUGAAAAGUGAGCAGAAUCCAAUAAUUAAUCCACAUCAAGUCAGGUAAUAGGGGAAAUUAAUAAUAAAAUAAAUGAUAAAAUUGCAACCUAUCAAAUAACAAGAAAAAAACUUGUCUAAUUAAAUUGCUUUAUUAUUUUCAAAUUAUGAUUUUCUCAUUUGGUUUCUUAAAACACUUAUUUGUGCAAAGCAAGUAAAUUUUAUGUGGAAAUAAAUCUUAUUUCUCAACUAAAUUGCCAAUUAUAUCAGUAGAACUUAAAUUGAUGUGGACUACCAAUUUUCGCGUUUUGAAUUUUGUGAUAAGAGGUUAGUUUGUAAUGAUGAAUAUGAUUUUCAUGAACAUUGUAAUAGUUAGAUUAUCUGCCUCAUCUUUUUCGUUUGAGGUUCUUGGCUCAUGGAAUCUUACACCAAUUUCCAAAGAGACAGUCGGACCAGUUCAAUUGACUGACUCGUUUCGAGCCAUUCCAAAGAUAAGAGCCAAUAGAUACUUCACUAUUUGGAAAAAAUUUGUAUAGAUGCUACUGUAGCAUUUUUUGUGACAUAAUUUGCAUGAGAUUAAAAUCUGAUUGAAAGGAUUAAAAAAUGUAUUUAUGAUAUAAGACUAUAUAUAUAUGUAUGUAUAAGACUAUAUAUAUAUAUAUAUAUAUAACUUUUCAUCCAAAGCCACCUAUUGAGCUUCCAAAUUUCCAUUCUUUCUAAUUUUUUUAUUGAUUUAAUUGUUUAAAAUAUCAUUAGUACCUUGUAUUUGGAUGGAGUCCAAAAAUAUGCUACUAUUAGUUAAGUUUAGACCCUAAAAUUAGAUUCUUUCAAACCUAUAGUAUACCCAAAAAUAUGAAAGAAUGCCUAUGAUCUUGCAAUCUAAUUCCAAUUUACCAAAAUUAGAAUGAACAUUAAAUGUUUGAACCUAAUAAUAAGGAAAUCUUCUCCAAUUUCUUUAGUCUUUUAUUAACCUUAACCAAAAAAUAAGUUUGGCCAUUUAAUACCUAUAAAACGAAUUUAAGGAAACAUCUUUGUAAUUAGUUAAUUGUACUGAAAAUAACUAUGAGCAUAUUAAUGAUUUGAACAUCAAAUUAAGGAAACUAUAAAUAAUUACGGAUUUGAAAAAAAAAAUUGGAGAAAUUUCCCCACCUCUCAUGAUAUGAACACCACAAAAAUUUUAAGGGGAAAAAAUCAUGACAAACCCAAUUUUUUUUCAUUUCUCUGUUAUUUCUAUCAAAAUCUAUUAUUUUACUAAGAAAUUGGCUUCAUUGUAAUGUAAGGUAUCUAUUAAUAAUUUCUCAAAAUGAACCACAAACAACUAUGUGUAUGUUGACAUCUAUUAAUUUAUAUAAUCAAAUUAAGCAUUUUAUAUGUUUCUUAUCCUAUAAUAGGCCAUGCAUUUGCUAUUAUUUCUCUUUUGUUAUAAGAUUUAAUCUUUUAUUCUUUGAAUUCUAAGAUUGCAUAUAGGAAAAUGUUUUAUGUUAAACUCUUAAGUCAAAUAAUUUUGCUUUACAAAAUCAAGUACUAAUAAUCAUAAUGUAAUCACAAAAAUUAGAUCUAAUAUGUUAUUAUUUAAAAAAUCAAUUUAUCAAUAUCCUAAAAAUAUAUUCUCAAGUUUUUUUAUCAUGUUUUUACUCGUGGUAAUCUUUACUUAUUUUUCAAUAUUCAUUUUGUCAAUUAGUUUUCUUUUUACUCUAGUAUCCUUAAUUGGAAUAAAGAAGCUAACUCCAUGUUCUCAAGUUCUAAAGCAACUAUACAAAAUUCUAAUUAUUCUCAUGAUUGUUUAGCAUCUUCUUUUCAUAAGUAUAUCUUUUUGGUUUUUUUUCUUUCGUUUUUAUGUGUGACAUCAUUAUAAUUAUAUUAGGUGCUCACAAUAACAUUUUUAGAAUAUAUCCAAUAUAAUACUCUUAUAAUGAGUAUAAAUUUUAAGGUGAACAAAUUUUAUUGAUACAAAUAUAUAUCUUAAAUAAACGAGGAUGUAUUUGAAUGGUUAGCUUUGAAAGUGGUUCAGGAAAUCUUUAAAAAAAAAAAAAUUGAAUGGCUAUUUAUAAACAAACUUCAAAGAUGGCAAAAUUUUGUGGAUUUAUACCCACAUUUUGAUUUUUCUAAUAGAUCUCAAAUUGCACCUUAAAUUUGGCCAAAACUAUUUGAAAGAUGUUAAAUGGGUAGCGAAGGGGGAAAAGGGAGAUAGGGGGAGGAGAAUCUAUAAAAUGGAAGAAAAGUGUCGACAAAGUGAUGUAUAAGAUUACAAGAAUAGGCAGGGGAUGGAGGAUAUGGAUGCCUUGCAAGGUAGGAAAAAGAUUAGGCUUGUUACGUAAGUAAGGGUAGCAAAUAAAAGGGGAUAGUACCAGGUAGAGGGCAUAAAGAAGGUGAGACUGCAAGAUUAGCCAAAUGUGGCAUAAAGAAAGAGGAGAGUAGCAGGAAGGGUAUUGGAUUGUAAGGUAGAAGAGAUGGCAAAUAGGGGAAUGAGGAGGAUGAUCGUGAUAUGUGAGUUUUGUAUGUCUUUUGGACCUUAUUAUUUGAGUGUUUUUCUAUUUAAUUUUGGUAAUUUUUUUUUUAUCUUUUUUUAUUGAAGAUGUAAUUAUUUGAAAAUAAAUAUUAUCUACUAAUGCAACUGGAAAUAGAUUUUUUUAUUAUUUGUUAUUCAUGGAAUCAUGUGUAGUUUAAAAACUACAUCAAAGUUCUCAAGGUACGAUAUACUCUGAAAGAAAGGAAUUUUUCUAAAAUGGGACAAAUUUUUAUAAGUAAUUACGAGAAUAUAUGAUAAUGAAACACAAUUUUUAGGUAAAUUCAUAACUUUUUCAAGUUUAUGAGUGGGGAUUUUUUUCCUUUGCUUUUAUUCAAAGUAAUAUAUUUUGAUAGAAAUUGACACCAUCUUGAACUUUCAGCUUUUCCAUUCCAAAUGACUCUUUUUUUUUUUUUUUAAUUAAAAUACUUUUACUAUUUUGAUUUCAAAUGGUUAACUCAUGCAUAGCACGGGUCAAAAUUCGAGUAUUGAGAUAUCCAAAUACACUCUAUGCAACUAGCUUGCAGGUAUCUCAAAUAAACUCAUCAUCGUAAUUCCAUCUUGAACAUAUAUAUAUAUAUAUAUAUAUAUAUAUUUAAUCCUCCCACUUCUCUCCAUAUCCUUCUACCUCCAACUGCUAGAUGCAUGAUUCGAAUCUUGAUCGUGACAGCUUCCCCUUAUUACCGGGCUAAUUUUAAUGGUUCAUCUUGAACACAUAUAAGCCACUACAAUGUCAAAUGACGCAUUAAACUCAUAAGCUUAUUUCAUGAAUGAGUUGGCCAGUCUUAUUAUAAUGUUAUAUUCAACAUUAUCAAAAUUAAUCAGCACUCGUAAGUACUUUAUUAUUAUUAUAAUCAGCUCAAAAUUAAUCACCAAUUUUACUAUUCUUUUUUUUUUUUUUUUUUACAAAGAUCAAUUUUACAAUUCUAAACAUUCAUUUCUGGACUCUCGAUGCCACUCCAAAUUGCAGAAAACAUCACCAGUUCACUUGCUCUACUUAUCCAAGCUCCUUUCAAUAUAUGUGCAUCAACUUGUAAGUAACUUGCAUUUAAACUCACACGUAAACACUUAUGGCAUAUGUUUUGUAUGCUCUAUUAAAUUUUAAGAAUAAUAAUUUACUAAGCUUUAUGAGUUAGAUUUUGAGAAGUUCAAUUUCUAUUCACAAUAUAAAAAGAGCUUUUAGACUUUGAGUUUCAUGUGCAAUACUUGUAUUUUACUCAUAAACAUAUUAGGGUUUCAAGCAUAAUUCAGAAUUAACCCAAAGUCACAAUUAAUUCAUAAUUUUAUAUAUAUGAGAAGUAGGGUGGGGCUUAAAAUUUAAUUAUUCAGGUUGGACAUAAUAAUGUAUAUAAUUAUUAAAUAUGCAUCAUUAUGAAUACAAAUAUAUACUUAUAUCCUUAAUUAUUCAGGUCAAACUAUAAUUGAGCCGAGCUUAAUUUAGUCCAAACUCGACUCAAAAUUUGAUCACGUCUUAUUUUAAGACCUAAACUCAACCUAAUUUAAUGAUGCACAAGAUCGGAUUCUAACUUUUUUUAGCCAAUAGAGUGAAGUUCGGAUUAACUCGACCCUAUUAACAGUCCAAAAAUCACGCGACUUGGUGUCCUUUGAUGAGAUAAGAAAAUGACUUUUUUUUUUUUUUGGGGUAAAGCAAUCUCUCGAUUGUCUAGUAUUAAUAUUAAAUGCAGAGAUUUGUAAUCCAUUUCUGAGUUCUGACAGUCCAUUUAUCUCAUGCUCCAACAGCUUGAAAUUAAAGAAAAGAAAGGAAAAAAAAAGGGAUAAUUUCAGAAACCUCCCUUGAGGUUUCAUGAAAUAUCACCUAACUCCCCCUAAACUUUUUAAAAUCUCACUUAGCACCCUUGAAGUGAUAGUAGGGCCAUAUACUAAUAUCAAAGGUGAUGAAUUGUCAAUAAUACCCUCAUAUUUAAAUUUUUUAAAUUUGUUUUUCUUUCUCUAAAUUUUCUACUUUUCUUUAACAGUGUCUGUACAAACAUACAUACAUACAUACAUAUAUAUAUAUAUAUAUAUAUAUGUAUAAUUGAAUUGCAAAUGUCGAUAAAAUAUAGAAUUUAAUCAAUGAAAUAUUCAAUGUAUUUGGAGAAAAAUAGCUACAAGUCUUUUUAUUUUUUUCUCUUUUUUGGUGUUUCACAACUUUAUUUAUUUAUUUAUUCCUAUUCAUGUAGAGUGCAAGAGAAAUAAAAGUAAUUGAAACUCCGAACAGUUUUUCAAAGUCUCACUUUUUCUAUAAUAAAAUUUCAUAUUCACACCCAUAAAAAAAGUUUGUCUAUUUUGAGUAAAUUUUUUGUUUGAUAUUGAAGUUGAAUUUCAUCUAUUACUAAGUUUUUUUUGCUCAAAUGUAUGAUUUUAUAGACUAAUUACCUUCAACGCUACGAAGGGUUCUAUUUGUAGAAAUUAUUUAGAAAAUACUAUUUGUUUUUACCAUCUCUUCCUACUAUAAAAGUGACUAUUGGCUGUAACAUAAAAUUUUACCAAUUUUUAUCUUUUCACUUUUAAGAUGGUUCCAAUUUAGUACUUUUUUUCUUGGUUUGUAAAAUGUUCAUUUUUUUAUAACCUAAGGGUAUUAAAGGCACUAAAAUAAUCUCUCUCCUCAAACAUGAAUUUUUUAAUAUUACUUUUGGUUAGAAGGGCUUCCAAUAUUAUCAAAAUGUCAAUUCAAGGGGUGUUAAGUGAGAUUUUGUAAACCUCAAGGGAGCUAGGUGAUAUUUCAUAAAACCUCAGGGGAGGUUUAUGAAAUUAUCCCAAAAAAAAAAAACAGCUUGAAAUUUAGUACGUUAAGCUCUAUGUAUUGUACACUCAGAAACUAAAGUCCUAACUCCUAAUAGACCAUUACCAUAUUUCCAUCUUCCUCUCUGAAGCUCAACUGCGAAGCCAUGGAAACUCUGCUGCCUCUUUCCACAACUCUUCGUAUCAACACACUCCAUCCAAUGGUUUCUCCUUCAUUUCUCCAGAGAAGUGGCUCUGCAAAUAAAUUUUUGCCUCUAAAGGUAAUGACUACGUACUUUUACUGCUGCUAAAAUAUUCCAUCUUUUGCAAGUUUUAUUGGGUUUUUUUUGUAAUCUUUUUAUUUGUUUUCAGUGCUAUUUUUUCUGGGUUUUGAUGGGAAUUGCUUGAUAUUAUUGUAUCUGUUGGAAACUGGAUAUUUGAAUUGGGAUUUUUUUUUUUUUUGGGUUUAGGACCAAAAUUAAGUAGGUAAUUUUGUAUGUAAAGCAGUUUUCUGUUUUGAAUUCCUUUAGUUAUUGUAUGUUUUCCCGUACUACUUAAAGUAGAUUCAACAAUAGCAAUAUUUGAUCUUCAAAGAUUCCAAAUUUGUUGCACUGAAAGGGAAGUUUGAGUUUCUGCUAAAAAUUUGUUGCUUGAUAUUAUUGUAUCUGUUGGAAACUGGAUAUUUGAAUUGGGAUUUUUUUUUUUUUUUUUUGGGUUUAGGACCAAAAUUAAGUAGGUAAUUUUGUAUGUAAAGCAGUUUUCUGUUUUGAAUUCCUUUAGUUAUUGUAUGUUUUCCCGUACUACUUAAAGUAGAUUCAACAAUAGCAAUAUUUGAUCUUCAAAGAUUCCAAAUUUGUUGCACUGAAAGGGAAGUUUGAGUUUCUGCUAAAAAUAAAUAGUAAAAAGAGAAGUUUUGAGAUUUAUUUGGUAUGGGAAUUAAAUUCUGUAGGGUGGAUAGGAAAUCUAUUGUUGGAGGGGUGGAGAUAUUUUGGGUGAUAUAAGAUUUUAAGAUAAAUGUUUGUGCUGAAUGCUGAAGCAAGGGGAACUAUUUGGUUGCCUGCAGCAGUAUAUGGGAAAAAUUAGCAUUUUACAUGAAAACAAGAAAAAAUUGUAAAAUCCAGAUUUUUCUAUCGUUGUUGCAUCAGAUUACUCUCUUACAGAGCUUUCCUUCUUUUAUUUCCAAGUUCAGUUUUUGGUAGGUUAUUACUACAUCUUAAGAUAUGAGUAUCUUGGAGUGGUAUAGCUUCCUAUCCUCAAUUAGAUACUAAACUGGACAAAAGCUUUUUAAUUGACAAAUACCCAGCUCGGCAGGAAUGCAAAAGCUUAAGUCAUCCAAUUAGAAAUUAUUGUGGCAGUUUUAGCGUGACAACCUCACUAUGUGUUGUGGUUGUGCUCAUAACAGAGACUUUUGCAAGGGAAACAAGAAGGCAAUGUUGAUCGUCAUGAUGCUUACAUGGAUUGUCCAUUCAGUUCAAACACAUGCACUAAAAGUUUACUUCAUGUUACUGAGGAGCUUUUGCUUGAAAUGCCAUACAAAGGUUUUUUGCCUGAUGUCUCCACUCUGUCUACUUUGAUGCUGUGCUAUGCCAACAAAGGUUUGUUCUCUCAAGCACAGUGUAUUUGGGAUGAAAUGUUUAACAGUUCUUUUCUACCCAGUGUUCCUAUAAUUUCAGAGCUAAUUGAUGUCUAUGCAACCAGUGGACAUUUUGAUUUGGUGAGCAGAAUUCUGCAUCAAGUACGCUUGAGAAACCAUAUGAUGUUACCUGCAAUAUAUGCGCAGACUAUUUCUUGUUUUGGUAAGAAAGGAGAACUUGAGUUGAUGGAAAUUAUGCUAACAGAGAUGAUUGCUAUGGGAUUCUCGGUAGAUUCUGUCACACAAAAUGCUUUUGUCAUUUAUUCCAGCAAUUUUGGUUCAGUGGCUCAGAUGGAAGUUGCAUAUGCCCGUCUUAAGAGUUCAAGGAUUCUCAUAGAGGAAGAAGGAAUCAGGGCAGUUUCAUCUGCUUAUAUCAGGGAAAGGAAAUUCUAUAGUCUAGGGAAGUUUCUAGAGGAUGUUGGUCUUGGCAGGAGAAAUGUAGGAAACCUUCUGUGGAACCUUCUCCUGUUAUCCUUUGCCGCCAACUUCAAAAUGAAAAGCUUGCAGAGGACCUUUGUGAGAAUGGUGGAAGGUGGAUUCCAUCCUGAUCUGACUACUUUUAACAUUCGAGCUCUGGCUUUUGCAAAGAUGUCAUUGUUUUGGGACUUGCAUCUGAGCAUUGAACAUAUGCAGCAUGAAGGAGUUGUACCCGAUCUUGUGACUUAUGGUUGUAUAGUUGAUGCAUACUUGGAGAGAAGGCUGGGAAAGAAUUUGGAAUUUGCUUUGAGCAGAUUGGACACAGAUACUCCUGCUACGAUAUUGACAGAUGGAAUUGUUUUUGAUGCGAUGGGAAAAGGGGAUUUUCACUUGAGCGCGGAGGCCUUUUUGGAGUUCAAAGAUAAAAGGGAUUGGACCUAUAAGCAACUUAUUAAAAUAUAUCAAAAGAAAAAAUUCCGGAGUAACCAAGUGUUUUGGAAUUACUGAUGAAAUGUUCAAUCAAUAUGAUUUCAAUGCAACAAGCAGCUUAUGCCAAAAGGACAGCCUCUCACUUGAAUAGUGAGACAAAAAAACCUGGUGGGACUCUUUGGGUGGACAAAGAGCAUCAGCUACAGGUGAACAGAAUGUUGGGAGCAGAUGCAGUUUACUCCAAGAGUUGUUGUAUAUAGGUAGGCCAAGGCUGUAUUUUUUUCAUUUAUCUUUUCUGAAAAAAGUCCUUAUAUGCUUGUAUUUUCCAUAUUUAGGAUGUCAGCACAGAAGUUGGGAUGUGGAAAAGGACAAGUUUGGUGAGCAUUAGUUCAUAGCUACUUACCAAAGUUUGAAUGCAUGAAGGAGACAAGUAGUAGGUGCCAUGUCAUUUGGUAGGCUCUGCUUUUUUCUUCCGGUUUUAGAUAUGAAACCUUUUAUUUCUUUAUUUUUUUAAACUGAAAAAUGUUUUGGAUCAAGACAUAAACUAAAUGGGUUUACAGCAAAUCGAAAGAGUGGAUUGAAUAAGUACCCAUAUUUUUCAUUCUUGUUUUGCCACAAUCAUUUCAGUGCCAUCUUGCAUUUUGUUUGAUGUAAAUAGUUUGUUUCUCAAUUGAAACUGAUGAAGAAUGUAAAAAGAUGAAGAAUCAAGAGGAUGAAGCACAAGUAAUUAACCAUUGUCUGAUGAUAUAUGAACGUCAAGAUAUCCGUCAUUAGGAUCGCCACUUACACCCAGUGUCAUUUCUAUUCGGAUUUGCAGGUUUAGGAACAGAAAGAUACUGAUAAUGCGGCUGAAGAUGACUGUCGAAAGCUGUAAUCACCUCAUCCAAUCACCAAGCAGAAUAUGAAAAUCAGGCAACCAAUCAUUAAGAUCACCUUUUCAAUUUAGCUAUCCCAGCCAACCAAUGAUUAAAAUCACCAACAUGGCUGCCUCAGCUUCCUUUAUCUGACAUUGCAUGGCCAAUUUCUUAAGCAUUGUUGGACUAUUCUUUGGCUUUGCAAAUUUGUAUCCUUUUUUCUUCAGAUAUUGUUAGAGUACAAAAUCUUAAUGAGUUGCUGGAGUUUGUUGGAUAAUUUCUUAAGAUGCUAAUAACUUACUGCACAGUUGCUAUAAAUUUAGUUUAUGUCUUAUGACUUCAGUUAUAGCGUGGUAGGCUAUGCUUGCAGUCUCAAGGGGAUCUUUGCACCAUGCUGUGGUAUGGCCGACUAGCAACCAUGAAAAAAUCGAUGAAAUUUAUGAAAGAGGAAAAAGAGAAACAAGGAGGAGAAGUGUGCAAAUGAUUGUUGUUCCUUCAUCAAAUAGUCUUUUUCACUCGUUCCUUUCUCAGUCCUUCCCCCUCAAAUUCUGGAUAGAAUCUUGAGAUUACUAGAUCCACUUUCUCUGGUUUCCAGGUGCUGCUAUAACUCAUUGUUGAGUUUCUGUUGGAACUUCCAGAAAGAGUUUAGUUAAUGGAAAACCAGUAGAUUCCAGAAAAGAUUGUCUUUACAUUACUGGAGCAUGUUUGCUUCUUUGCAUGAUUGGAUAGUUCAGCAUAAUUGGAUAGUUAUAUGUCAACUUGGCUUUAAGUUUAGCUGAGAAUGUUAGGAACUCUUAGAAGUUUAGUUGGAUAAUGUUGUUAUUUAUGCCAAGCUUGUUUGCAAGGAAGAACACAAACCAAGACAUAUAGGCUCUGUGACUUGCAGAAAUUACUCUAGGAGAUAUUUCAGAUCUUGAGAUGAUACGAGUAAGAUCUUGUAACAUUGAAUUUUUCCUCAUCUGCGUUCCAAUUGAUGUAUUAGAAUGACUAAACCAAAUGGAUGUAUUGGAAUGUCUGACUCCAUUCCUAGUACUAAACCAAACGGAUGGAAUGACAGAUUCCAUUCCAAGCCCAGGAUGAAUGAUCUCAAAUCCGAAUCUGAUUCCAAUGUGCAAACCAAAUGCCACCUAAGAGGUUUGUUGAUGUUGCAGAGAGUCAUUUUCAUCACUCGAUAAUGUCAAAGACUCAGGCCCUCUAUAACAGCCAAAUACUAUGUAAAAUCUCAAUCUACUGCUUCCUGCAUGAGUCUAGAUUUUCUGAUCACAGGACCAAAUUCGAGCAUUGGAUUUCAUUUUUUCAGGUUCCCUUUUCCCUAAACGCCUUUCUCAGCGGAAACUAAUGCAAAAUUCACGUCUCUUGUUGUAGUUGCAUGACAAGCAUAACAUAGUAUGCGUUAACUUCGUAAUUUGAAUCUUUGCUUUUAAUUGCUUGGUUAUCGAGUAUGAUCAAGUUGAUGAGGGACAUUAAUAUUUCUCCAUGCAGUUCACUUUGACCUUUGCAGUAUGUUCUUGUGGAGUUUGAGCUUGAACUCAAGCAUGUUUUUUUUGAGCUAUCUCGUCAUUGUUCUUAAUAAUCAAAUCACUGUACUUUUUCCUUUAUACUGAGCUAUUCAAAAUGCCGCUGAGAGAAUAUCGUUUGAUCACUUCUGAAUUUUUUGUCAGAAGUGAUCAAACCAAAAAAUUGUUCGACAAGUAUAAGUUUUGCCCACUACCACGUGUAAAGAUGAAAUUGAAAAUCUAUUGCAAGUUGGUGUUGAAUAUUGUUUAUAUUGCAACUGAAUUUUUCAUGGAGAUUCAAACUCGUGAUGACAUUGGAGAUGACAAUAUCAAGAGUUUGGUUUAAGGGAGGCAAUAAGGGAAAUUAAACCAAACUGUAUUUGGUUUCUUAAUUCUUUUAGCCGUCUUGUUUGUUUAGUUUCCACAUCGGAUUAGGAAAUUUAAAAUCAGUUUCCAAGUAAAUUUCAAUUUACAAUUGUACUUGUUUAAUGAAAUUUUGGAGUCUAUAAAUACUAUCAGUCUAGUAGGUUAUUACUGGAAGAGUUGAGUUAAAUCGUAAGAAUACGUUUGAGAAAAAAUUUCACAGUUGAAAUUUGUAAGUGGUUUUGAGCUAAAGGCUAUGAAUUUAUAUUGUUAUUAUUGAGUUUUCGAUUAAUAAAUUAUUGAGUUUUGUAAUGUGUUAAUUGUCCUCCUCUUCCCACGUAUUUUUACACAUGCUAAAAUUGCUUCUGCCGUGCGCGCCUUUUUUUUUUUUUGCCAACACACUUUCUCUCUCUCUCCUCAUCGUUUCACGCUUUCACUUGUCAUUUAGUUUAACUAAUUGAACAUUUAGCCAGACAGAAAUGUGAAAAACUGGGAAUCGUUCAAAUGCAGAGAAUUGAAACACUAGAUUACUUGCAGAAAAUGGAAGUGAUGAAAGUUGCUGCUUCUAAAUCUUUUAGAGCAUACUAUGUAGAGGUAAACGGGAACUUGAAAUUCGAGUGACUUGGAAUUUAAAUAACUAAAAAUGCAGUCUUAUUACAUGCCUCUUGGUUUUACCAGACAAAAGAGACUUAAGGGAAACCUGGGCAAAAUGCCAGACUACUUAUCCAAUAUUCUUGGAAAAGAUAAUCAGAUUAGGCAACCUUGAAACACUAGACAACCUUAUAAAAAAUCAUCUUGCAGUCUAAAUAAAAUCAAACAAUGGUUUUCUGGUAGCCUUCAGCAUUAAGGUGAUCUCACAACCUUUUUUCUGAAUCUCUUCAAACAUACUGCUCGCCAACUUACUCAUUGAUCUCUAUCUGAAAAGGUUGGAGCGCUUGACCCAUUUGUUAGACUUUCACGUCCAGAUUGUUGCGGCUGAUCUUCACUCACCUGCAACAGGAUUUUCAACAAUGUAUUAAACCACACGAUUGAUUAUCCAAAAAGAUCAGUCUUUAGAAGUACUUGAAUUAUAAGGCAGCCAUGCAGUUUAUAGCUCUCCAGUGUGCCACAGAAAAAAUAGAUGGAUAUAAUGGACAGGGUAUCUCGUCAGCUUUCGGACAGGGUAGAGAUAUUCAAACAAUUCCAACGUUGUAUUGUCCGGACUCUUUGGAAAUAGAGACAUUUUGUUUGGUUUAUCUAGAAUUCAGCAAUUAUUUUACUUUGAAAAUUACCUGAGAGGCACAUUUUGGGGUUUCUCUCACUAGGGUUGCUGGACUAGGAAUGAUGCCUGACAUUCUUUCUUCUGCUAGAGUCCUUAACCUAUCAAGUUCAGGUAACACCACAGUACGAAGAUCUGGUCUAUCUUUACGCCUUAGUUCUGCGCAUUUAAGAGCUAACUUGGCAAAAUUCAGGGCCUCCUCUACUGGCCAGUCUGGAACAGCUGGGUCAAGCAUAUCAGCGAAUUUCCCCUUCUCAAUGGCCCUCUGAACAUGGUGAGUCAAACCCAUGGGAGGUUUUGCUGUAAUAAUUUGAAGAAGCAUGACUCCUAAAGAAUAAAUAUCGGAUUUUAUUCCAAGCAUACCAGUUUGCUGGUACUCGGGAUCUAUGUAACAGAAUGUUCCGGCUGUGGAUGUCAUAAGGUAUUGAGUUACAGUAUCAGCUACAGAAGGAGGGACAAGCCUUGCUAAACCAACAUCACCGAUCUUGCUUACAUAGUUUCGAUCAAGCAAAAUGUUGGCUGGUUUUAGAUCCCGGUGAACGAGUGGUUCUGGCUUUGUCUGGUGGAGGAAAAGGAGGCAAGUGCCAAUCUCUGCUGCUAUUCGGAACCUUAAUUGCCAGGGAAGCACUGGGGUCUGUCCUCGCCGGAAGAGACGAUCAUCUAAGCUCCCAUUUGGCAUGUACUCAUACACGAGGCAACCAUACUCUGGGCAUGCUCCUAGUAGGAGAACCAUGUUCGGAUGUCGUAUACAACUAAGAACUUCAACCUAUAUCAACAUAGUACAAAAGAAUAUGAGAAAGACAUCACUAGUGUGUUUCAGUAAAACUAUUUGUUGUAAUUUGAUUCCUUCAUAGGAUGUUAGUGCUUAAUUCUGGCAUUAGGGCCUGAAGAUUUAUUGAUUUCAUGCAUUAAAAUGUACGUACAGAUGCUGCAGAAGGUUGUGCAUCUUUAUCAAAAUUUGCUUGAAUCUGUUAUAUAUUUUCAGCAUGUUCGUAUUAUUUCAUUGGUCAGUAUAUGCAUUUUUCGUCCUUUUAAUUUUUGUUACAUAGCUGUAGUUGGAUGACUGAUGUUCUAAGGGUAGUCAAACAUGCCUAAGUAUAUUUAAGUCCCAUACCUCUUGCUGAAACUGUGCCCUUCCUUGAGAUGCGUCAGGACGUAGUACCUUUAUUGCAACAGGUGUAUGAUCUAGGUUACAUUUGUAGACUGGUCCAUAUCCACCUUCACCAAUUUUUCGAGACUCUGAGAAGUGAUCCGUUGCUGUUUCAAUUUCAUCUAUGGUGUAUCUCCGGUAUCUAACAUCACCAUGUGCUAGCGUAUGCAGUACUCUUUUUCUCUCCUCUUCUUCUCUGAGUGCCUUCAUUUCUGCAUUCUUUCUUUUUUGUGCUUCCAGUUCUGCAAUCCUCUGAGCUGCUUCAGCUGCCUCAAUGGCUACCUUACACUUGGCCUUUUCUUUUUCUGCAAUUGCUAGUGCUGCUUCCUCAGCUAAUCGUGCCUCUUCUAGCUUCUGCUGUUCCUCCAUUUUCCAACGUUGAAGCUCUAAUGCCUAGAGCAAAUAUUUUAAAUUUACUUUGGCCAUUUCCAAUUUGGCUGAUAAAAUUCUUAUAUCUUUGACUUCUUGUGUAUUUCGUGCAACGAAUGGAGAUCUUACUGCACAAGGAGUUUGAAAAUUUUGAAUUGCAAAAGUGCUCACCUUCUGUUUUGCUAAGAGUGCUUCUUUGCAUGCUGUGCUAUACAUCUCCAUUGUCUGCUUGAGCUCUUGCUUGAGCCUUCUCAUCUCAGCUUCUACAUCCUCCUGUGCGUAAGAUACGCAGCUUAAGCCAUUGUUUAAUAAAUGCUCUAUUUAUCAUCGUUGCUUUGGAAAGGCCUAUGUUGUUAGUGGUGCAUCUUCUAGUAACUUUGAAGGUCCUGAAAACCUUCAUCUAUACCCCUUACCCCAGAUAAGAUUCCUUACCUUCUUUGAAGAAGUAAAAAUUUUCUCUUGGUCAUAUCAAACCACUGAAAAUAAAAUGCAGAAACCACAGGAACGAAGGCAAGGGAAAAAGCAAGUGAAAGAUGUAUGUUUGGAACAUUACCUGAUGUAAAUGUGAAUUAACGUAGAGAAGAAACCUUAGUUCUUAUUCCUGUCUGGAGGGUUUAAAUCUCAUAGCGGAGUGAAUGUUCAAUGGCUUACAAUAUCACACUAUAUCAGUGUUCAGUAAUCGACUACCAUAUAAGAAAUUAGUUGGGAAUAUUUUGUGUUGGAAGUUAGGCAUUGUGUUAAUUACACAAAUUCUCUUUCCUAAAAGGCCUGACUAACAAUCUUUGGUCUUGGUGUCUUGCGAUCUUCAUAUGACCAAUAACACUGAUCGGCCUUUAUAGUAUUACCUGAGUAAUUUCUAUGUUUUAUGCUAUUACCUUGAACUUGUUACACAAAGUGUGAAUUAAGUAGUUAUUUUCCAUUAGUAAAGCAUUUCAAGUUUAAAUCAUGCUUAAAGCUUGAAGUGGUUUUUGUUGUCUGCCAAGUCUUUCACAAACUUGAAUUCUACUCCUGUACUACAUUGUUUGUAAGAUUGGCUCGGAAACUUCAUCUGUAAAUCUCAUUGGGUCACUAAUGCUACUUCUGUAUGGUGGAGAAUAUGCAUGUAAUACAAAUAAAUUUCUUUUUGUCCUUUGAAUUUUAUUUUUUUGUUGGAGAUUGAUAAGACAGUAAUCACUACUAACUUGGUUUCGCAAGACUACUUUAUUUUCGGUUGAUGAAUUAACAGUAUUGGGUAUCAAUGCGCAUACCUGACUCUGGCUGGAUGAUGACGACCAUGAUAUGCUGCCAUUUUCGUGUGUUCUGGAUGGAAAUGUACCAGAACUGCUUGUAUCAGGUGUCCUUGGCCCUGAGAAUGAUGAACCAAAAUUCGAUGUAUUCUCUGUUUCAGAGCCAUUUGAAAGACGAGGGGGAAAUGCCAUGUCCUGAAUGUCAGGUAAAGGGAACAAGUGGUCCAUGCUUGACCUGCCCGAACUGAUAAAUGAUAUGUCGCUAUCUGGCAGUGAGAAGUCUCCAGAAGACCUAUUCUGAGUUUUGCCUCUAGUAAAUGGUGACCUGAGCAAGGGUAGUAAAGUACGGUUACUGUAUGUCUUAGCCUUCAUUUGCUGGAAAUCAAUCAAAUGAUUUGUUUAUUCACUUUCAUCGCAUUUCUUUUGCAGGUAUUGGUUGAAAUGUGGGUUCCACACAACUUUUACCCAUGCAGAUUUAAGAAUUCUGAUAAAGGACCAAACAUCUUAAUGAUUUUGAAUGUGAGAUGCCUAAUACCGUCAUUCUGUUUGUUCCUUAUGUAGAAAGUGAAAAGCAGUCAUUUCUUGAUAUAUGCACAACUCACUUGAUUGAGUCCAUAUCUUCAGCCAGAGUUCGUGGGGCAAUCGGUGAUUUAUCAUGAGAAAAACCUGUUCAAGUUGAGUGAUGCAUUUAGUUCCUCUACCUGUACUAAAACCAUAAUUUAGACAUGGCGAAAUUGCAGAACCAGACCUCUUACUCCACUGCCAUGCAUCAGACGUGCAUCAGAAAGGACAGGAUUUGUCGUGCCUUGAUUUUGCCCUUGGCGAGGCGGUGGAUUUGGAACUGGACAGGAGGCAGCCCUUACUGAUGAGAGUUUUCCUUUUGAGAUGGUAAAAACAUUGCAAAAAUCUGGUGCCACCUUGGAAACAGUGGAAGCGACGUCAUUAGUCUUGAAUCUGCUGCGUCCAAAGAUUUGUUAGUAACGAGGUACAAAAAUAGCAUCACACUUAUGCUUCAUCAGGGGAAAAGGGAAAUAGCAACACUAAUGCUGCUAGUCGAGUAGUUGCUAGAUGAUAAUAUUUCUACUAUCUUCAUAUUGUUUUGAAGAAUGGUUGAUUCAGUUAGACCAUACAAGUAGAGUGAGAUUGAAUUAAUGGAACUUUUUAAUUUCUUUUGGUACCAACCCUGAAGUCACCUUCUUUGAACAUUUCUGCAGUGUGUGGUGUAGGCACCAGAUACAAGGUAAGAGUGAACUAUAUGGGUUCUAAUGCUUUCAACUGGCUUUUCUGACAAAUGAAAAGUAUUGCCUUUGCGUGUCUGCAUGCAUGUGCAUUGUGUGAGUGUUUAUGGUUAUAAAAAGCUCAUCAUGGCAUCUAUGGUUCUUGAUAUAGGUUUGAUUCUAGGAAUAGACCUGCAUUUUGAGGCUCUCUAACCAAAAUUGAAGUGAUUGUUAAUAAAAGAAAGGAAGAAGGAUCAAGUAUCUUGCAGAAAGUUACUUCUCUUAAAAGUUUCCAGCAUAGCUGAUCUUAAACAGAAACAGGUGUUCACAUCUGUAUGUAUCUCUGAAUUUAAUUAUUUGGAUAGUAAGAAAGUAGAUAAAUGGGGCAAAGAAGUAAUUUACCGAACAAAUGCACUCUUUGAUGGAGCACCAAGCACCAAAUUCUCAACGAAGUUUGCCCUGACAUAGUCACAUAUGCCUUUUGCUAUGUCCAAAUCCUCAAUCAUGACUUCAUUAACUCGUAUCUGUUGCAAGAUAACUAGUCAAAUUCUAAAAGCUUGCUACCUAAACAUAAAAAGGAAAUUUAUGUUGAUCAGGUAAAGGCAUCCAAGAGGGGUUUUGGGUUUAAAGAAUGGACUGAAAGAUAUCAUAUGUUGAAUCAGGGAACUUAGAUGUGGGUUUUUCAUAAUCUUUUUAAUCGAUGAUUCUUGAGAAUGAAUGGUUAACUUUCUCUCUUGGACACUUUUUGGGUUCAAUUACUAGGUCUUUUCUAAACUUAUGUAGGUAUUCUAUGAUUUACUUCUUUUUUUGCAGUACAUGAUGAAAUCCUAUUCUUUCUUUCUUUUCACUUCUUGUAGCAAGUCAAGAAAAGAAAUAAGUAACCAGCAUAAUUCAGAACUUCAAAAUAUAUAGCAGAUCUUACAUCCUUGCGAGUGCAGAAGCAGCGGAAGGGAAGGAACAACUCCUUGGAUUGGCCAUCAGCAUCUUUAUAUGAUCUUUGAAUGCUAUCAUUAGCAUCAGCAAGAGCAAUGUGGCUCACCACUGCAACAAUGAUAAAAAUUUUGGAAUUCCUAAUGAGAUUUUCCAAGAUGAAUAUCGAAAAAUCUUACAACAUACAAGCAUGAAACGUAUGCUUGCAUAUUCGUCCAGUAUCUGUAAACCCCCGAGCAGAAACUGUUACCAUGCUGCAGACAUUAUUAAUACAUGCAGAGCAGGUAUCUUUGAGUUUUAAGCAUUGUGUCCAACAGCAUAGUUUGGACUGCAUGAUUAUCAGUCAGAAUUAAAUGUUGAGAAUUGCUUGUUUUCUUUGGAGUAUUGACCAUAAGCUUAACUUUCUCGAGCUAUUUGCCUUAUUCUUACAUUGUUUCUCUGCAGUUUCACAAAUUUGUUUGAAACUGAUACUGUAUUGUACUUUUAUGCAGUUAGGAUUGCAGCCUUACGAGAUGAUGCAUUCUCACAAUAUGGACGUGAAAAGCUGGCAUAACAAAACAAUGAUGGACUGAUGGGUAGGUAUUUGUAUAGAGAUUCUAUUUCGAAUAAGUCCAUGCAUUGAGAAUUCAAGCACAUACAGAUACCAGAAUAAUUGUUUCAAAUGUUAUUGUGCAAACAAAAUCAGCAUCAGGGCAUUCGUUAUAGAAAGACUAAUAUGCAUUUUCAAUUAUUAGACACAUAAAUCAGGACUUUGACUGUAAGCAUCUAAUUAAUGCUGAAUUACAAACACCAAUAUGGAACACAAUAUGAAGAGUAGAAGAUAAAAAGAGAGAAUUACAUGAAGCAGAGGAAGGUUGUUUUUGUUUGACAUGAAUCAAUGUAACAUAUUUGCCUUUUCCCACAAGAUUAUCAACAGCCCAUUUCAAAGCAUAUUGGCUUCCUUUGUCUUUAUCUAUGGCCACGCAUACCAUUUCAGCAUUUCCUCUAGGAAUUGGCAUUUUGGUUCUGUAGCUAGGAUCAAUUCGAACACACCCAAACCCUUUGAGUUUUAUAAGAAUUCUUGCUUUUAUGCUUUUCUCAAAUGAGUUUCUAGACUUUCCUCUCCUUGUUUCUUGCAUUACCGAAGGCUAAACCAUUUGAAAAACCUCUUUUUAUAUCUUGGAGAGGCUCCAAGUGAUUUGGAAAUCUUAGACUCCUUUUUGACUCCCAAAGUCUCCUAGAUGACAAGAGAUAAUUCAAAGUAUUUAGUUUUGCUUCUGGUAUUCUUUUUUCUUUUUGAGAGAUGACAGCAAAGACAUUUGAAAGUCAUCCUACAUUCCAGGGAUUUCUCAUUCCUAUCCCCCCUUGAAGCGGUUGACCAGGGAAUGGUAGAUGAUCCACCCCAUAUUUCAGAAAAAAGAAAAGAAAAGAAAGACAAGUAGUAGUGAAAAGACCAGUUCUGCAGAGUUUUCUUUGCCUGGUCCAAGACCAAGCGUUGUAAAAGACAGACAAAGAUUGCAACAUUUUCUGAAGGACACAAGACAGGCAAGAUGCCUAACUAAUUGCCUAUUUUCAGAGGGAAAAAGGUUUCACCCUUGUCCUGGAAAAAUAGCCAACUAAUUUACUUAUCUCAGAAAGGAAAUACAACUAAUUUUUUCUCCAAUUUUCUUGCUAUACGACCCCCCUCUAGGUCCAAACAUGCUUUGUCUUUCCCUUCAAGGAAGCUUGAUGUUCAUUUCACACAGAAAAGGCAAAAUACCAUGGUAGGAGGAUGAACUCAAUUAACUACUUAUUUAUUUCAAGGGAUCAAAAUAAAUGAUCCAAGUUUGGAAACCUCAUCAUCAUAAAAAAAAAGAAAAAGAAAAAAAGAGUAUGGAAACCUAAACUAAUCAAUGCCAAAACUAGAAAAUUCAUGUGUCAGAAUUUUUCAUGAUCUUUUUUUUUUUAAAUUCUUUUUAGCGCUGUCAAAAUGUUAGCUCUACUACUUUGUAAUUUACUUGAUAAGUGGAUAUUCAUAGUUUGCCUCUGAUUAUAUGCUAGUGUAAUUGUGGUGUUUGUAGGAACUAAUGCAUCUUCGAUCUUUUCAUUUGCGUUUUGGCAUUAUAUCAAAUGAUAAAAGUACUAGAACAUUUCUUUGUGGCCAAGAUAGAUUUGUUCAAUGAGACAAAUCUGAUAUAACUGUCAUUCCCAUCCUUUCCAAUUUUCACAUUUUUGAUAAUUUCUUACUGCAAACUUUAAGUACUAUGGCAUGGUUAAAAAAAUAUAUAGAUUAAGAAAGUGGUUCCUUCUUAAACAUAGGCAGUCCUUUGAUCAACAUAGAGAAAAAUGUAUAAUCUCAUUUUAUUUUAGAAAAUGGAAUGUGACUAGAUUUAGACUUUUUUUUUUCUUUAGCUUAUUGAAAAGGGAAAAGCAGAAAAUUUGAUGCAUAUGCUGCACUUUUUCCUUUCUUUAUCUUUUUUUUUUUUUUUUUGGUUUUUCGUGCAAUAAAUUGGCUACAUUAAGAAAAUGUAAGAAAAUCAUGCUCAAUUAGCCAAAAAUUGUAUACAGCAAUAAGCCAAAACUUUAGAAAGAUAAAUAUGCAUAACUUGUCAUGAUACAACAAGUGUACAGAACAAAAAGAAUGUCAGCUUCUUGUUAACAAAUUACUCUAUGAUUAUCAACGAACUGGAGCUAGAUUGGAAAUGCUAGCAACUCUAGAAUAUACAAACCCUCAAAAUCUUGUUCAUUGGCAUGCAUUAAUCUGUUAACGAUUGCUCUAAGAUAAAUCCCAUUUUAUCAAGAAGCUUACAGUAUAUUGAAAACGGUACUAGACUAUAUACAUCAUGACAAGAACUAAUGCACUUUCCUGCCCAUUUUUCCAUUCUGAAAAAGGCCUUCCAAUUGAACUUCACCUUAAUGUAUAUUCUUCUUGUUAACAUCAUUGCCUUGUGAAGCCAAACCUUCCAUUCCCACUGUACCUCGAAAAAUCAUCCGAUUUGUGUCCAAGACUUCCUUUGUAUGACAGAAAAAGCUUUCCCACUUAACCAUUCAUUGGAACAUUAAUGAAGUCCUCAGAUAACCCCCUUGAUGAGCGCAUGUCUGUUUCACUGGUAUAUGAAGAGUGGAAAUCAUCAACAUCAUCUCUUUCCUUUAUCUCUUCAAUCCUGUCGACUGCCUCCUUAAUGUCCCAUCUCUUGUCAAUUUCAGGCUCACAAAGAGUCAGUGCUAUCUUUAGUAGCUUCAUCAUUUCACCUUCACAGUGCUUAGUUCCUUGCAUAUCUUUGUCAAAAACCUCAACGGUCCACUCAUCCUUGACAACAGAAUGCACCCAAGUCGCCAAAUCGGUGUCACUUCCCUUACCUUGUUGCAAGAAGUUUGAUGGAAAUUUUCCUGUGAGAAGUUCAAGUAUCAAUACACCCAAGCUCCAGACAUCAGUUUUCUUGGUGAUGCGGCCAUUUUGCUUGAAUUCAGGUGACUUGUAGGCUAUCAUUUGGUCCCGUGCUUGUUCCAAGUUGACUACUGGAAGUAGUCCGUAGUCGGUGAGCAAUGGCUCAUUGUUUUCGUUAAGAAUAACAUUGGAGGAUUUGAGGUGACCGUGGGGUGCGAUCAGGCUCGGGAGCGAAUUGUAGAGAUACAGAAGGCCUUUAGAUACACCUUUGACAAUCUUCAAUCUGGUAGGCCAAUCAGGGCUUGACAGACCACGAGAUUUGUUACCUGGAAAUACAAGUUUCUGCUGUUUAGACCUCAGCACACGGGUGGCUUGAUUUCCUUUUUUUAUUUUUUGGUUCUUCAGAAAUUACUUACAUUAAUAUCUAUUACUCCUCCCCGACUGAGGAAUUCAAAGUUAGGAAGGCAAAAUUGUUAUGCAUAUUUUUGGUCAUUGAUGGAACAGAAAAGGUAAAAACCACUUCUCAGGAAAGUAUUUUAGAUCCAACCAAAGAAGUCUAAUAUAGGGAGAAAUAAGUGAUCAACUAUGGCUAAAAACUGCAGAGAAAAGCAAUCUUCAUACUCAGAACUAAUAAAAGUUGCAUCAUGCAUAGUAAAUUUGAAUUAUGCAUACUUACCAUGAAGUUGAACAGCCAGGCUGACAUUUUCAACAUAGGUAGAAACUAUAAGUUUCUCCUCUUUCCUAUAGUAGAAGGCCACAAGUGGAAGCACAUUCGGAUGACUCAAUCUGCCUAACCUUCUCAUGUGCUCAUGGAAUUCUUCUUUGCCAACAUUGUUCAUUUGCCUAUACCUCUUCACAACCAUCACUGGUCCUGUAUUAAGGGCAGCUUUAUAGGUAGAUCCAAACAUUCCACUCCCUAAUACCUCAGCAGAGGCUUUGAGUAGAUCAGACAUGUCGAAUUUUCCAACAUCAUCCCUCAAGAAUGAAAGCUUGAUAUUCUGAUCACUCUUCUUGCCUUCUGAACCGCGAUCUGGUGACAUCCCUUUUUCCAAUCUGUCCAAAUCUUCAGAGGGAGGUUUGUUGUGACCUUGUGGAGCUGCUGCAGCUGCUGGUGCAUCUCCCAGUUGAGGUGCUUUCUUGCGCCGGCUGAGGAUGAUUAUAACUGCAACAAUUGCUCCCAAAGCUACCACAACAGCUAUUGCAACAAGUACUAUAGUUACAACAGAUAGCUUUCGCUCUGGGGGACUAGGACAUGGUUCCAAUGGUGCACCACAAAGGUCUGAAUUAUCUGUUCAUCAGUAGAAUUUAAUCUCUUGUAAGUUAAUCUGACAAUACCACUUACUGAUGUAUAGAUUUCAUCUUAGGUAUCUCGCGCUAAUCUGUAGAGGCUUUUAUUUCUUAAUGUGAGACAGAAGAAAAAAGUAAAAGACCUAGAAAUCAAGAGGAAAAAAAAUAGAUCAUCAUAGUUAUAUGGUGUGGAAAGAUUUUCAAGAUAAAUAACCAAUUAUAAGCUUAAUAUCAGUUGCCCUGCUGGUAUUAUUUCACUUGGAUAUUUAAAUAUACGUAUAUAGUUCCAUCAUGGGACAAAGCUAUCCACUUGGUCGAAUUGUAGUAAUGCCAUAAACCUUAAGGAUUUAAUUCUUCAUUGUAGUUGUGACAAUGUUUGUAUCCUGUUUUGGGACUUUAUUAUGGUAUUGUCUACCACCAUCGUCAAGUUUUGAACAUCCUUCUGAAAUAGGAGGCGUGACUAUCAUAUUAUAACAUCAUGGUACCAUAUUAAAGACAUAAGAAAUCAUUGGAAAACAGUUGUGCUAUUAAAUAAACAUAAAACAAUUUUUGAGAAAGAGACUCACCAGAAAAUGAAGCUGCUUUGAGGUUGCUCAGGCUGGCAGGAAUUUGACCCCCUAGGUGGUUGUGGGAGAAAUUCACAUUAAUCAAUCCUUCUUGAGUAAAAUCGGGAAUUUGACCUGAAAACUGAUUGCCAUCAAGUGUCAACUCUAUAAGCUUUGGCAAUCUUCCCAAGGAGGAUGGUAUUGGCCCUGAAAGCUGAUUGUUACUCAAAUGAAUCUUCUUAAUUGACAGCAUGCCUACAAAAGCAUCGGCUGGAAUCUCCCCUGAAAAUUUGUUAUUCGACAAAUAAAUUGAUUUCAAGGCACCAAGUUUCUUCAUAUCCGGGAGAGGUCCUUCGAAAUCAUUAUUCAUGAAGCUGAGAGUCCUCAAACUCUUCAGCUGGCUAAGGGCAUCCUCAUUGAUAUCACCCUUCAACCCCAUAUUUUCAAGCUUCAAUCCCCAAACAUUCCCUUUAUCGCAAAGUACACCACUCCAAUUCGGCUGAUCACCCUUGCAUGAGGGUACUUUCGCGUCCCAAUUGGACAAUGCACCAGUAUUUUUCAGGGAAUCCUUGAACUGUAUAAGCAAAUCAGGCUCUGACAAACAGAUGCACGUAUGAACAAGCUGUAGAACAAUGGCUAGUAUGAGAAGACACCAUGAGGACUUGCAAAUCUUAGCCAUGGCGUGAGCAAAAUUGUAUCGUGACGCGCACUUGUGGUGUGCGCGCCCUUAGGGAGGGCUCCUGAGCAAAAGAUUGUCUUCUUUGUGUGCAGAAGGAGCUGGAGAAUGGAAUGAAGGUUGACAUGCAAAAAUGUAUGGGCAUAGGACCGGAAGGCAGGGAGGGGGAGGGAGAGAUAGUUGCCAAGAAUAGUGAAAGGCAGUGAGGAGCCGUGAAAACGCAUGAAUGGACAAAAAUGGAAAGAGGGCAUUUGUUGUUAUCGUUCAUGUUGACUAUGUCCUCUCUUUGCAUGCAUGGUGACAUGGGAGAGCUUUGCAUGAGAAAUUUGCGGUUUGCCUUUGAGCUUUGUUGAUGAAUAAAUUUUAUUCUUCAUUUUGUUCUCCCCCGUGGCUUCCCCCUUUUCAAUGUUAGUUGGGAUCAGAUUCACAGAUUUGUACAUAAUUUUCUGCAGUUCAAAGACUAACAUACCUUUAUUCUCCAACCAAACUACUAUUUCAAAUUGAAUUAUCUCAUAAAACUUAAAAAAGAAAAAAAAAUCAGAUGCAUAUAGUAAUGCAAAUAUCAUGUAAUUAGUAAGUCUUAAAUGGUCUUUGUUUGUUACUUUGUGUGCUGGUCUAGUAUUUGCCGGUGCCGUUGCUAAAUCGGCACAAUUUCCCCUUCAUGUAUGGUUACCUGAUGCCAUGGAAGGGCCCACUCCUAUUUCUGCUCUUAUACACGCUGCUACUAUGUUAAAUAAACAUAAAGUAGAAGAACCUAGAUUCCCAUGUGAUUUGCCAAAUACAUCUCAUUAUUGUAUACUCUUUCAUAUAUAUAUAUAUAUAUAGCGCAAGCCAAAUUUCCACCAUUUUCAAGUGUGAUUUCUAUGUUAUGUAUGGUCGUGUCUAAGGGCAUAUCGGUUGAAGUAGAUUCUUCUUUUUGAUCAAUCAAAGGAUCGGAAUCUUGGAGAAUACUUCUUGAUCAUUUCUACCAACUUAAAGCCCCAAUUUGAAUGAGUAGAGGGCUAUAAGAAUAAAAAAGUUAGCUAGGAGUGAGGUAGCACAUAAUUUUUUUCAAGGUUCCUGAUAUCUGCUUUAUCGAAAGUCACACUUAGAUAUACUUACUGAGAAACUAACCAGUGUGCUGAUAGAUUGACGAAACUGGGUGCUCAGCAAGAUACGAAUUUUGUAUGCUAUGAAAGUGUCCAAAAAUUUACUUCCCUCACUUUGUACCUGUAACUCGAGUUUUUUCAAUAUAUAAUUCCUUUUAUUACAAGAAAAAAAAAACAUAAUUUUUUUAAAAAAUUUAUUGAGAGCAUCAAAAUUUUCUUUUUUUUUUUUUCUCUUAUAGAACACCAAAUUAGAGGGGUUACUUGUAAGAAGCAGCAAUAAAUUGAACCUUUUGGUCUCUUUCCUUGAUGGUUUGCUUCAAUAUACUUUCUAAAUUGCUUCGCAUGAAUUAUUGCAUGCUUCAUACUUCCAAAUGAGAACAAGAAAGAUGGCUUUGGCAUACGUAUUUGAGAUGCCAGGCUUGGCAAAGACACUUUGAAUUGCUGCCUAGACGAAUAAUAUUAAGAUUUACAUAUGACCUGUUUGCAUUUGCCCAUGUCUCUCCAUUCUACUAUUUUUGUUGCUUUUUCCUGAUAUUAUAAUACAUUUCUGCAACAGAGUAAGCACACAAUAACAGAGGCUUUCAAUUAAAGUACGUAGCACUAAAGAAGUGAAAAACAAAUAAUUAAAAUUGAGGCAAAUAGUUACAAUCAUUAUUCAUUACAACAUAUUUGUACUCAUGCAAACCUCAAAUCAAUGUGUUUUCAUAUAUAGGGCAAGUUUUGGCUAACUUGGGUUACAGUUGCUUCUUUUUGUUGGUAGCUCCAUUUGUGAGAACAAAAAGUUUUGGCUGAAGUUGAAAUGAGGACCAUAAGAUUGACCAUCUUGAUUUGCCAAUUAGCUGGAAGAGGAUACCUUCCACAGUCCACUCUUUUUCUCUUCCUUGCUUUUACACCUCUCCUAUGAUUGCCUUCCAAAUAUCCUCUUCUCCCAAAUUUACAAAUGAAGAGAUGAAGAAUGGAGUCUUUGUAGUAAUGGUCACAACAAGACCUUAAGAUAUGAAACAAAUCUUUUUAUCAAAAUCUGUAUACCCAACAUCAACAAGGCAAAGGCCAUCUGGAGGCGAUGGUGGAGCAGUUGCUCGCCUGCAUGUGGCAUCCAUCAGUUUCAGUAGUGCAUCCUCUUCAGCACCAGCGGCAGCCUCUCUCACCGCUGUAGCAACAAGAACUCGCACCAUCUGCAAAUCAAUGCAAAGGCCACCAUUGAUCAAUUAUAAGAAUCUCACAAAGACUGAAAGCCCCAAAGACAAUUCAAAUAGGCCAGCUAUAAGAGCUUUGUGUCCAGGAUGGCCAAGAUUCACACUAGCUUUGCUAGUCAACGAAUAUAUCAGCUCAUGAAUGGAAAACCGCAGAGCAGCUUGGCGCCAAUGGGACUAAAGAUUGGUGAAUUCUCUCCUAAAAGAUAUGGUGUAUAUAAAUCCUUUAACUUCAUAUCUAAAGUAUACGAUCACCAAUAAUAUCCAUCAAGAAGAAUUUACUGUCACUUGUAGGAAAAGCUAAAACCAUAUUCGGAUACACAACUAAUAGCUUUUUUUUCCUACAAAAAACCAUGCAGGCAGGUAAUCCAAAUAUUUUGAAAUUACUUAGAUAUUAAGGAGUGUGAAAUCUUCAAGAAAAGGUUCUAAAACAGCAACAUUAGUUUAACUCAUUUGGAGACCAAAAGUUUAUUACAUACAUAAAACAGUAUCAAGUGAGAGUACUUCCUCAGACAAGAUUUCGAAAAGAUAGGAGUAAAAAAGCAACUACCUUGCGCAAGAAGCGAUUAGCAACCAACUCUAUGCACAUGAUCUUCGUUUCACUUCCAGCCUUGAGUUUUGGGGAGAGACAGAGGAAGAAGAAGAAGAAGAAGCAGCAGCAAAACAAACUAAAUCAAUAGUGUAAAAUUUAUGGAAUAUCUCAAAAUCCCAAUAGUUAUAAGCCAACUUGCCACGCAAUUGCAUGCUCAAUGGUAGGUGUAAAGACCAAAAGAAUAACUAAUAAAGAUUCACAUUCCAAUCAUCACAGUGUCUUUUACAUAGUCAGUACAUAAAUCCUUCAGCAGCAACAUAUAGAUUCAGAUUGCUCAAUCACACAAUCAUAAGCCAUCAGGAAAAAUAGCAACUGUAAUUAACUAGUCUCCAUGUUGCUCGAACUAUCUCUCAGUUGUUUAGAAUGUUGCCAAAAAGCUUUACCUAGAUAUAUAGAAUAGGCAUGUGUACAGGGGUAGUAGAAAAGAAAUGUGGUAGCAUCUACAAGGUACGCAAUACACAACUAUACAUCCUAACCAGGGUAAAGAAUGCAGAACAAUCAGAAGCUGGAGUUCUCAAAAUAAAAUGCACAACAGCAAACCUACAAUAGGGGAUUGCACUCUAAAUUGCCGUAUUAGGGUGUCCUAGGGUUUGUUGAAAUGAAUAUCAUUUUGUAAAGUAUAAAAGGUGGGUAAAUUAGUUCUCAGUUUUAUAAUUGUCAAUCCGUCAGUUUCCUCACGUUUUACUUAGAUGAGGCACUGUAAGACCUACCGUCUUAACUUCUCCAUCUGCUGACUAGGCAUCAUCCUUGAGCAUAUUUCAUGUUUUGAAAAACGUCCCAGAAGUCAAUAAACACCUUAUGCCACACUCCAAAUACCACUUUAUUGGUAUUCGUUGGACUAUUCAAAUGGUUAUAAUAAUGAACCACUGAAUGCAACCUCAAGUAUGUACCAACUGUGAACCUCCCAUAUUCAUCUUGCUCAAGUUCAUCACGAGUUUUACAUAUCUACCUAUUGAUUGAUAGAUUGUUCAAUUAUCCUGAACAUACAUACGUUCAUUGGUUUCUCAAAAAACAUAACAUGCAACCAAGUUUACAAAAAUGGACUUCAUUACCUUAAAUGGAAUAAAAAUUGUGAUGGAGAGUUUAGAAUGAUGAUAGAACAAGUGAACAGAGGUUAAUUUGCUGACCUGUGUACAUGGUAAGAUUGCUUCCGUCGCUCGGGCAUGGAAGACAAAACACUCAGUUGGGGGACCACUGCAAUGUCAAUAGAAGACAGGCAAAGGGAGAUUAAGAAGCUGCUACACCAUAUGUCAGAUUGCAUAAAAACUAGUUCCCCCACAUAAAGUAAGGACAAACUUCAUAACUGCCUUGAAUCUUGAUUCAAAACCUAGUAGAGAGAAACUCUGUAACAGUAAAUUUGAAUUGUUAUUGUUUACUCUAAAGAUCAAAAUCCACUUGAAUGCAGGUGAUACAUUACUGUUUGAUAUAAAUGGGUAUAUACAUAAAGAUAAGCACAAGCCAAAGCUCUAUGAUAAAAUGCUUUCAGGGGGGGGGGGGUAAAUUUUCCAUCUAACAAUGCUCAGAAUGAAAGCAACCUAAAUCAAGCAUCAGCUGGAAUUUAUUAGUUCUAAAAAAUGUACAAGUAAAGAUCUUAGGUCUUAAUCACUUAUACUACAGCCACCAAAACAUCUAAUUAGCCAAAAAAAUUGACAAAGAAAGAGCAAAGUUUACUGGCUUCACAUUGCCUAGAUAACAGCUAGCAACAAAAGAAUAGAAGAAUGAAAAAGCAGAUGGCAUACAACUUGUUGGGUGAAAAAUGACAUUCUAUAUCCCUGUAGUAGCAACUUCUAAUUUGAAUCACAUCAUAUCCAGAAACUAUGAACCUUAUGAGGCCUGUCAAAUCGAAAAUGUUAUUUUCACAAUCAUGCAAAUCAAAAUUUGAACCCACAAACACAUUUGUAGAUGUAGUUCUUCAAAUGUAAAAAGAAUAUGAUUAUGAACACACAAUUUUCAAAAGAAUUAUGUGUCAGCAAUUGAAAAUUAGGGACAGGGAUUCAAACAGUCUAUCUAAAAAACAAAUAAUUGCACCAAACCAAUGGGAAAUUUUUGGAUCUAUAAGGAGUUGAUGGGGACAAAAUGACACAAGAGAGAUGAUCAAUUGUAACUUUCGGCAUAUACUUAUUUUCCUUUUCUUUGGGGGUUCUUUGUUUUGUUUGUUUUUUUGGGUUGUGGUGGGGGGGGGGGAGAGGGUUGGGGAUGAGGAUGUAAGAUGAUGUUGCAUCCUAAACUAGCCAAAAUAUAGGCCUUUUAAGAACCAACAGAUGCAUCUCCCAGGAAGACUAUUCAGAAUUACAGCUCACUGCUUGCCCAAAACCAAAAUUGAACAAGUUAUACUGAUACCCAGUAUCUUCUAUGUGAGUAUGUGAAUAUCGUUAAAGUUGCAAAAAUGAAGCCAGCAAUAACCAACAUAGCUCUGCAAGGGGAUCAGCCAAUCUCAGCAUCUCUUAUUAACGAACUGCCACUUAGGACUUCUGUGUUGGCAGUGAGCUCCAAGCUAAGAACGAAAAUUCAACUAUUUCAGAAUACUUCAGUUCAGAUGGCAACAUCUACACAACAACUGCCAAUCUGAUUCAGCCAAAUAUGCUUUGACUUUGCAGCAUAGAUGAUAUACCAAGUCCAAUUGGCAUACAGCACUGAUUAACAAAAAAUUCAUGAACCAAACAACAGAGGACUACAGUUCUGACUUACACGUUCCUUGAGGCUUUAGUGUCUCGCGCAAACAUCUUGUAGGACAGCAACUUACCUUCUAAUUGACUUAAGAGUUGGUUAACCUUGCUGACUUCAAACCUUGUAGGCUUAUUUCCAGCUUCGAUUUGAUCCUUGUAAUCAUGAAGUCCAUUAUCUAAUGUAAAGGUAUAAUCAUGUUCAUUCAAAUCCUUCUCAACCUGACUGCUGAGCUCAGCUUCUUUUCCAUCAUUGAAGGGAAAGACAUACAAGUAGCGCCUCCAUUUGGCCGAGAAAUUUGGAUGAAAUUCACGUGAUACCUUUGACAAGUAGCUCCUCAUCAGUAUCUUUUUUUUCUUACAAUAUGAUGAAGAAAAUUCUAUUUAUUUUUCCCAAUCAUUGGCUGUUUGAAAAAAUUAUCUCGCAACUUAAAAUGUAGUUGUUAAAAAUAUCCCUUUAACUAUUCAGAACUGUUAAUUGUUAAAAAAUCUUUAACGAUUCAGCACUGUUAAUUAACUUUCUGAAUUAUCCGAUAAUCCAAUCAUCACUGAUAUAUAAUGACCAGUACGGCAUUACCUCAGUAACAGAAAUAGCAUUGAUCUUCCCUGGUGCUGCAUCAUUAAUGGUGCUUUUAAUGUCUUGAGGUUUCACAUCCUUUCGCCAAGUAUCUGGACAUUGAAGAACAUAGAGAAUGAGAUCCUAAUAUUCUACUAUACAUUAACCGUUGAGGUAAGAAGCAAAUAAUUAAAGGGAGAUAAAAUUAAUAUUUAUUUUGCAUAUAAGUAUAAAUGCAGAUGUCUGUGUUCGUCUUUGGGUGUAUGUACAAGCAGACAAUGAGAAACAUAAGGCUAUAGCUUGUAGCCACCAAAAUGAACAAAUCCAAACUUUCUACUUUCAGAAAUUUUAUCAUGUAGAAAAAACAAAAACCCAGCUUACUGUAUGAUCCAAAUAGACUCUUGGACACAAAUAAUCAAGCCAAGAAUACACAUACAGAGAGGCCAUUCAGAAGCUUGAUUGCUUAUCAAACAAACAUAUAGAUAGGAUUAAUUCACUACAUUGCAUCUAACUUCAUCAAAAACUUUUUUCCUCUAUAAGGGAUUGAUUUAAAAUUUUCAUGCAACACAAUUAACAGAAGGAAAAAGAGAGUUAAUAACUAUCCCUGAUUUUUUUAAAAUUACCAUUCUCAAGAAUUAUAUUUUAUAUACACAAACUCUCAUCUCUGCUUUCUGAUACUGCAAGAAACGCCAAAACCUAACAUCACUGAUCAACUUUGACAACGAAUUGCGACUUCUUUGAAUAUUUUUAGAAGCAAGCAUGUGAUUUCUUCGCAGUUUUGUCUUUCUUCAAUGUCAAAACCAUAAAAAAAAUGGUAGCAGACAAAACUUCCUUCUCUUUUUCAAAUAGAAGAGGUGGUAUCCUGUAUUCUUACUCUCUUCUCUAUCUCUUUCAAUCUGGGAGUGGUAGGGAAAGAGGGAAGUCUUAUUAUGUUGUUAAUUACUCUUUUUUUUUUUUCCAUGUAAAACUUUUAGGCAGAAAUUUUCCACCGAGAAAUGUUUUAAGUUCCAAGUGACAGAGGUAUAAUGAGGUAUAACAUCCAAAAACAAUGUAACAAACAUGAUCACUAUUCUUGGAUUCCAAAUGUUUUUUCUCUCCACAUGGAAAGCUUUUUAUUUUAGUAAUUCAACAUCAUAUGUGAGCAGGAAGUGUCCCAAAAGCUUUGAUCCUCACUACCAAUACUAAAGAUUCUAUGCACGCGUGGACCUAAUCAAAACAAUCCAUCCCAAAUUUAAAGGGCUAUGUUAGAGUGUUUAAAUAAUAAAAGAUUCACCUCUCUAAUGGCUCAAGCUCAACAAGUAGAGAAUUCAAAAUCCAGGUAUCUAGCUCCCAUACACUUUAUAGAAUUAUACUUAUUUAUCUCUUAUAAGACUCAACAAACAACAUAAAAAAACUAAAAUACAAGGGAAUAACUAAUUAGCUGGAACUAUUGAAUAAGGUCAGACUGUUCUUUCACUCCAUAUACCAUGAGAAAAAACUAUUUUUGUUCUCAAAGUUUAGAGAAAUACAAAUAUGCCUGAUAUGGCUCACCUGCUAGAUGCAUUUAAUUAUUCAAACAACAAUCAAUAAGCCAACAUCAACAAGGUCACUCCUCUAAAAUGCAAAAUUGAUCAAAAACACAGGGAAGUCAAAAGGUAAGCCUCUUCAACAGAAGUAAAUUUAUCAGGGAAAAAAUAAGAGAGAUUUGACAGAAGUGCAAAGAAAAAAUUAUACCACAACAUGGACAGAGGGAAUUGUGUUCUGAAAGAGGACAUACAGAAAGAACAAACUUGUUGAAAUGCUGUAACUCCCUUGUCAGUGCGCCCAGCUACUACAACACAGCCUUCAAUUGGUAAGUUCUUUUCAUUUAGCAGCUGAGUUUUCUUCUCGUCGACAAACUUUCCAAGAGAUCUUUCAACUAUACUAUAGAUAGCAGAGCUCAGAAAUUACCAAACCAACAAAGAUAAAAAUAGCAGAGAUCAAGACAUGUAAAAUAGCAACAUAUCACCCUGAAUAAUUAAUAGAUAAGAUGUUGAAUAAAAAAACCAUUUGUAUGUAACCAGUAAAACAAGAUGAUGAUGGCGAGAAAUAUGUGUCUCUCUGUAUGAGAGAGAGAGAGAGAGGGGGGGGGGAGGGAGGUUAUCCACUAUGAGAUCUCAAAUACAAGGAUUUAGUUCAUCCACAUUCAUUGGCAACUUCAAGUCUUCAACCAGAUACGUAGAUCAAGAGAAGUGUGUUACUAUUUGUCUAUGUUUCUACUUAUCCUAGCUGGACAGAGCUUGAAGAUUUCCUACUCCCUUCAGUGUUCUUCUUGUGUUUUAUCAGCUACCCAUGUUGGCUAGACACAUUUUGAGGGGGUGUAUCAGACAAGAACUCAGUAGCCAUGUCAUCAGCCAUCAAAAGAAAGGCCGUAGCAUUGGAAUGCAUAACAGUCCACAAACUAGCUCUUACACAUUUAAAGCGAGCAAUAAUAUCAAAAGGUAAGAAUUUAAUGUCGCCAAAUGAAGGGACAUCUGCCAUGUCUAUGGAGCACUUCCACCUAGUCACUAAUCAUGUAGCAGAUGUAUAAUCAGCAAUGUGGAAUUGUAACACAAAAAUCAGAAGCCAUUGCAAGAAACAUACCCUUGUACAGUAUUCAAACCAGGUUGCUUCUGCCAGCCUUGAAACGAACCCCCGUGGUAUGAAAGGAGUACCUUGAAAGUUACUCUUGCCCACCUCCCAGUCCUAUCUUUUGCUGGAGCACUAUCAAUGUCAUUUUCAUGGAUAUCCUCUAUGAUUUCAGUAUCAUCAUGCACAGCACAUGUCUGCAGCAACUACAAGAAUUUCUUUUUAAUAAGUACAACAGAGCAAUACAAGGGGUAAAGUAGACAAAUAUUUAAGGCACCAUAAUAUCUAAAGCCUACCAAAAACCUUGCAGUUCUGAAAAUUAAAUCAAUCAUCUAGAAACUAAAAAGCCUGAUAACCUCUUAAAUAGAAAUCAGAUAGCUGACUGCAGUUGUUAUGCCCGCUAUCAAUGGGCAAGUGUGUAAAUGGGAUUGGUGUCUUGUUAAGAAUAGAAGUUCUGUAAUUUAUUUAACCCUUUCCCAUAGGUUAAGGACAGGGGUGUCUAGUUUGGGAAAUGUUGGCUCUCCUGACAUCCACCUUGUUUCAGAGGAGAAGUAGUCAUUUAGUCUUCCCUCUUUUUUCAUUCUAACCCUCCAGGAUAAUAAGGUGAUAUAGUUGAGUGAGACAAUUACUUCAAGGCAUCAGGACUAAGCCCAUGACUUUUUCACUUUAAUGACAUAACUAGCAAAAAGUAAAUGUACCAAAACAAUCAAAAACUGCAACACCAAGAACAUGAUUGGUCUCAAGAGAAGGUUAAAUAACAUAAGUUACCUUAAAGUUUUAACAGCCAUAAAAUACUUUAACAAGAUUUUAUGAGGGAUGCAAAAACUGCUAAGAAACCUAAACCAAGUCGAUAUCAG